UUGAGAAGUUCUUGCUGCAGGUGUAGUAGCACCAGCACCAGCAUUGGAAUUCCUUGCAAGAGGCUUACAUAAACAAGAAGGAAAAUGAGUUAGUACUUAAAAAAUGGAAUGCACAAGAAGGAAAAUGAGUUAGUACUUAAAAAAUGGAAUGUACAAGCUACUUAUAAGAGGAUUACCACAUGUUUGUUCUUCCUCAAAGCCAGCUCAGGCUUCAACUGCUUCAUGCAGCUAGUGUACCUAUGUCCUUGUAGUUCACAAUUGCCACAUGUUAUAGUCCCCAUUCUGGAUGUGUCCUUAGGCUUUGGAACUUCAAAUCUCCCCUUGAUCCUCUUUUCUUUCUUUCGUCCUCUCUUCACUUUAAAUUUAGGUGGGUCAAUGUCAGGACCAGGGGUCCUUGUCCAGUCAUGCUCACCAGGAACUGGAUAGAUCAUUGGUUCAUAAGCUGCCACAUAAAAUUCUUUCUUGAAGAACUUGCUGACAUAAUCCUCUGGUUUUCUUUUGCCCUUGUUUAUUGCUGAGAUGGCAUGGUUACACGGGAUGCCACUGAGGUCCCAUUUUCUGCACCCACAUGUGUGCACUUGCAAGUUAACAGCAUGGGUUUGUUGCCCACUUGUAACUUGCCACAAGUCCACACCAGCUUGAAUUGGUUUGCAAUAUUUGGCCCUCUCCUUCUCAACCUCUAGCUUCUCACUAUAAUGGGGUGUUAUGUCCCAUCUAGCUGUCUUUGCACUCUCCCUAUUCCUAUGCCACCUCAUCAUCUUCUUAUCCUUUAUUCCAUCACACAUUGUCCUAAUUGGUUUCUUCCUAACAUCUAGGACAUACUUGUUGAACACCUCAGACAAAUUGUUAACUACAAGGUCAGUCUUGCAAUUUGUGUCAAAUGCAUGCCUUGCCCAUGUUUUCUUGGGUAUUUGACAAAGCCACUCCCAAGCUUCCUCACAUUCAGCUCUAAGGUCAUUCAUUGCAAUGUUAAAUUUGUGUUCACUAUAUGCAUAGGCAGCAUUAUCCAUACACUUCUUCAGAUCUUCCCCCCUAAACCCAGCAGUUUGAAAAAUUGCAUAGAUAUGCCUAAGGCAGAACCUUUGGUUGCACUUAGGAAAGACAGCAUUCACUGCAUAUAGUAGGCCCUGGGACACACAAUUAAACUAGCUAAGCUAAUAUCUAGCACACAACAACCAUAUAGGAACAAGGAUAUAAGAAUAGGGGCACAUACCUUUUGCCUAUCUGACAUUAUUGUAUAUGGACCAAACUAUCCCUCUUCUCCUCCUAGGCAGAUUUUAAGUUGGUGUAGAAACCAACACCAAUUAGCUUUGUCCUCUUGCCCAACAAUACCAAAUGCUAGUGGGUAUAUAUUGUUGUUGCCAUCUCUACCAGUGGCAGCAAGUAGUUGAGCACCAGUACUUAACUUAAUGAAGCACCCAUCAACACCUGAAUGAGCAAGCAAUUUCAAUAUUUAGAACAUUCAAUUGCAUUUCAAGAUGAAACAAUAUGUAACUAAUGCACAAGGUGAACAAACUAACCAAUGAAUGGUCUGCACCCCUUGAGAAACCCCUCCCUUGCUCCAUUGAUGCAGUAGAACAUAGCAUGGAAUCUUGGACCUGGAUGGGGGAUUUUUGCAGUGGGUGUUGGAGUUACAGUAGUGACUAUUACUCUACUCCCAGGGUUUGUAUCCAUCACUAUCUGAGCAUAGUCUUUCAACCUAGGGUAUUGCUUCUUGUGGUCUCCUAGCACAACAUCAAUAGCUAGGUUCUUUGCCCUAUAUGCCAUUGAAUUGGGCACAUCCACACCAUACUUCUCCAUGCAGGCAUCAAUCAAAGUCUGAAUGCCAGUUGUUAGAUCAGAUCUGAACAGUGACUCAUACUUCUGUGCAAGCCACUUGGCACUUACCCUUGUUGUCUCUGUACUAAUAGGGUAAGUGUGGUUAAUUCUCAUCUUCUUAAUUACAAAAGUAGUUUCACCUUUUAUAACUGCUGCCACCAUAAAGAAGUUGCAAUGUUUUUGGUUGCAUUCUACAAUUAUUCUUUGAUCUGAGUUCCUAUGAUAUCUGAAGUUUCUGCCUUGAGUGAUGUGUAAGUUCAACAAAGCCUCUCUGAAUUGAUGUUGAUCCAAGAAACACAUCUUCAGACAUAAUUGCUCAUGUGGUGCCUCCAUCUUCUCAUUGUACCAUUUUCUAGGAGGCCUCUGCUUUGCGCUACUCUUCCUUUUCUUUGGCAGUACAAAUGACAAUGGCUCAUAACCAUCAUCAUCAGCCUCCUUCAACAAUCCUUUCUCUUCUUCAUCAGAUGAAGGUUUGAAAUCAGGUUCCUCCUCUUGAACUACACUUGAAUGUGUCCUUGUUGUAGGCCCUUUCCUAACUGGAAGCUUCUAUUUCUUCUUCUUCUUCUCUUCAUGUACAAUUACAGUUUCUUCAUCCUCUGAAACAACUUUCUCAUCUUCGUCCAUUUGGAAAGGCUCCUCAACCUCUGUGUCACCCUCAUAAUGCACCACUUCUUCCACCUCAGAUGCUUCAUCAUCUGUUUCUUCCUCUUCUAUUUCAUCAUACUCUCUCUGUUUCUUUCCCUCCUCCAUCUCUAUAUCACCAGCAUCACCCAUAUAAAAAGGGUUUACAUCACUGUCAUCUUCACCUUCACAAUCAGAAUCACCACUGCCAUCAUAUCCCUCUUCUUCUUCUAUUUCCAACACAACUUUCAGUUUUCCUUUUACAUUCUUGCUCUCUUGUGUGCCAACACCAGUACCAUGAGCUACACUGCAGCUGCUACUCUGACUUUCAAAGGCAACUCCUUCAUCAACAGCAUAGAUGGGUGGCUCACUGACAUCAUAUAACAUAGGCUCUUCAUACACAACAGUGGAUAAUUCUUGCCUCUCAUACUGGCUGCAAGGAGGUGGAACAGUGGAUAAUUCUUGCCUCUCAAACUGGCUGCAGGGAGGUGGACAUGCCCUCACUAACAAAUUUAAAACCUUACACUCCUCAACCUGCCUCUUUACUAGUUGCAACUCAGCAUUACUCUCUACCAUCUCCAAUCCUUUCUCCCCUAAAUCUGGAUUCUCAAUGUGAAACAGCAGAUCAUAUUCACUAAAUCCUUGGGUUUCCAUCACUGCAAUCAUAUUCAUGUAUGUCACAUCUGAACUGCAGAGCUUCAGCUCAAACAUUUCUGAAGCAUCAAAAUGGAACCUAACAUCCAAAAUGUCAUCAUACAAACUGCAAAAUGAAAUAAUAGACAAAAUUGGUUAAUAAACAGAUAGGCUAACAUAUAAACAAAGCUCAGUUUAAGUUAACAUAUAAACAAGUUAACAUAUAAAUAAAGCUUUGUUUAUGUUAACAUAUAAACAAAGCUUUUAUUUACCCUUGCAGUAUGAAUAAACUAAGCAAUUACUACAAAAUCAAACAAUGUAGAAAACUAUCUCAAUGCAACCCUAAUUACAGGGUGGGUACUUAACUCAUAGCAAACUGAUGUUUUGUAUUUUCAGAUAAGUAGUUAACAGAAUUGUCCACUAAUGGUGCUCUGCUCUAGUUAGAACUAAUUUAAUCCACUAUGCUUCUCUGCUCUGCUCUGCUCUGCUCUAAUGGUGCUCUGCUCUAAUGGUGCUCUGCUCUAGUUAGGACUAAUAAAUAACAAUGUAAGCCACUAAUGAUGCUCUGCUCUGCUCCAGUUAGGUAACACAUAAUGCUGCUCUGACAACUUGGAUUAAGAAAUAACAAUGUAAUCUACCAAUUUGGACUAGAUGGGACUCAUGUAAUCCACUAUACUUCUCUGCUCUAGUUAGGACUAGCUAUUAGAGUGCUAAACAUGCAGGCAGUAGAAACCUAACCCUAAUCCCCAAUUUCAGUGAGCAAGAAUGGAACAGUUGACCACUUACAGAACACCACCGAAGCCAUGAGUCCAGUGAUGCGCGGUGCUAGGGUUGGCCACCCAAAUUCGCGCCAACUGCAGCCUCUGCUCCAUCGACAAUGCCGGCUCCGCAAAAUCUUCGUCCUCGCUACUGUACUCCGAGCUGGAGUAGCCGCCACUGCCAUCGAGGCCAAAGCGGGGGAGGUCGCCGCCGCUCGAAUCGCCCCAGCCAUCGCCGCCUGCCGGAGUCGCCGAGGCCAUCGUCACCUAGGGAGGCACAACAGUCGGGGGGGAGAGGAGGGCGCGAGGGAGGAGCAGCCGCGAGGGAGGUAGGCUACGGCGGCGUGCUGUGGCGGCGUGCUGUUCCUAGGCUACGGCGGCAUGCUGUGGCGGGCGGCGGGGCGGGCGGGGAGGGGGAGGCAGACGCCGGCGAGGGUGCAAGGGCAGAGCGGGGUCGGGGUGUGGCUCGACCGAACCAGCCGCGCCCUAAACGGUGCGAGCCGGCCUCGUCCUAGUCAGCGCGCGGGCACGCGCGCACUGGCCAGCGUGGCGCCUGACGGGCGGGCCCAACCGGUCAGCUUUUCUGUCAAUACGUAUAAAACGCACUUUUAGUCUUUUUUACAACGGCUCGCCCCAAUCUUGGUACUGACAUAUAAAAAUUACCAAUCUUGGUACCAAUCUGCUUCCAAUGCCCCAAUUGUGGUACUUCUGUGUAAUUUACUCACUGAGAUGGCACCCCGGCUUAGGUCAAACCACCAUAGCUGAUUAACGAAGGCAAAUUCCUCUUGGUCUGACAUGCCUGAAUACAAGUAAAUCAUACAACUGAAUAUGAGUUGGUACGACAAAUUGACCUCCAUGUCCUACUUUUCUAUGCCCGAGAGAAAGCGGGGAUCUUGUUCCGUUGCAGCUCGGCGAUAGCGAGCCUGUCAGGAGGCUCGUGCUGAGGCUGAUAUGGUGAAGAUGUGGCAGAUCCCGUGGCACUCGGCGGUCGCAGGAAUCAUAGUGGACCACGGACCCAGGGGUCGUUCACCAACCCCGAAGGUGGCGGCACUCGUGGAUCUAUAGUUCACGCAUGACUUUGGAGAAGGCAGGACAUGGUGGCAGAGCUUGGGGGCACAACGAUCGCUACUAAGCAUAUAUUCCAUCCCUUCCAGUUUAUAGGGUCUAUCUUCAAAAUUUUGUUUUCCCGUUUUACAAGUCUUAAUUUUACUGCUCCCCAACACAGGUUCAUAUUUUAAGAUGCAUUAAAUUGCCGCAUGCAAGGAUUAAUAGAUCAACAAUGCAUGUAAAAGUUCUUGAUCAUUUAUUAGUCAUGCGUGUAUGCAUUGCAAUUAAUGCAUUGGUAAACAUAAUUUUUUUUAAAACGAGCACAUUGAUUGAGUACUUUUGAAAAAGACAAAAAAAAAAUCCAGCAUUCACAAUCUACUUUGGUUGGUGAGAUUUUUGAAUUGAACCCUACUAUAAACCGGAAGGGAGGGAGUAGUUGUGUUCAUCACUGAGGAGCCUUGCGGUCCUGCUAAAUCAGACCCGUGGUCCACCGAAUUCUGGAGGAAGAUGAAGCCAUCUCAUAUAUGCAAUUAUAAAAUAAUCUGCCUACCUAUGAUAAAUAAAACAAUAUGGCUACCGGUCUCACAUAUUUUCCGUACUCGCUGGCCUCACCUAUUUGGUACUUCCAAAUAGUUUUCUUUUGGUACCUUUUUUCCACCAUUUCAUUACUUUUGAUAGAUGGUUUUUAUUUUUUUCAACCAACAUAAAACUUGUAAUCGAAGGAGGAUUAUUGUACACAGUUCAAUGUCAUUUAAAUGCAGACAUGCAUGCAUCUCCAAAAUAAUUAAAUGUGUGUGUACAAAUCAAAUCAACAGUUUCUGUUGCACUAUUAAAAAUCCCAAACACAGACUUCAAAAAAAUUAUCAAUUAUAUUUCCAAACUCGGAGUACUAUGAAUGCAUUUUCGCUAAUAUGAAUUUCUCGAUGAAAAAUCUGAGUUGUUUUGGCAGUUUGAAAUAUUACAAAUGCAUUAAAGUACCAACAGUUUGUAAUAUUAAUUAUGUUUUAGUGUACUUUUUGUUGUACAGACACUAGAAGGAAAGGGAGCAAUGGUCCAGGCCGGGUCAGCCCAUUAGUCCCGGUUCAGACUAGAACCGGGACCAAUGGGGGCAUUGGACCCGGUUCGUGAGCUCAGGGGGCCGGCCGGGCCACGUGGGCCAUUGGUCCCGGUUCGUCUGGACCUUUUGGUCCCGGUUGGUGGGACGAACCGGGACCAAUGGGCCUGGCUCCUGGCCCACCACCAUUGGUCUCGGUUAGUGGCCUGAACCGGGACCAAAGGGGGGCCUCUAGUUCCGUUUCAUGCCACGAACCGGGACCAAUGAGGUGCCUAUAUAUACCCUCGCCCGCGAGCAGAGCACUCCAGUGCUCUGUUUUUCUGGGCCGGCGAGGGGAGGGUUUGUGGUGCUCUAGCUCACCUCCUAUGCACAUGAGGUGUUCGAUGAAAUGUCCGAGCCACACUAGUUAAGCUUUCUCCUCUCGAAGCUCGACCUCAAAGCUCGAUCACCCGCGCCGAUCUCAUCACCGACACCACCGUGGUGAGCCUCUUGUUCUUAUCUUCUUUCUGAAAGGAAAAAUAUUCUUACUUGUAUGUUUAGAUAGAUACUUGUAUCAUUUUCUUACUUUUAUUAUUGCAUCUUAUAUAGUGCGAUGGUUUUGGUAUCCGCCCCCGUCGGCCCUCGUCCUAUCUAUGAUUCGGAUGUGGUAUAUAUAUUAAUCUUUAUAACUAUUGGUUCAUUUAUUGUUUAUGAAAAUUAUGCAGACCAACGUGACAUAGAUUUUAUUUAUCUAGGAUGUAUAUGAACCGGAAAUUCCAACCGACCCUAUUGUCGAGAGGUUAAAUUUAGUUGAAGAAGAAAACAAUUUCUUGAAGGAAAAAAUAUAAAAAAUUGAGGAGGAGAAGAUGAUAUUGGAGUUGCAUGUUGCGGAUGUCAUCGAUGAUCACAAGAUCAAGAUGGAUGCAAUGCGCUUGAAGAUUAGAAAGAUUAGAAAAUAUGCCAUUCAUACCGAGGCUUGGUAUCAUUAUGCCGUUGGAUCAAUUGUUACCUUGGUUGCGAUUAUGAUCGCCUUUGUUUUCGCAUUAAAAUGUUUUACAUAGUUUCAAUGUAUGGUUUAAUUAAUUAGAUGCUCUGGAGAGCUAUAUGUUGUUAGAUGAGAACUAUGUAUGUACUUUGGUUUUAAUGUGAUGAUGAACUUCUAUUAAUUUGGACACUUAAUUAUAUAUAAUGCACGCAGAUGAACCGGCAAUGGAUGUACGGUGACAGACACACCUCCGAGUACAUUAAGGGCGUGCAUGAAUUUCUCAAUGCGGCUGAGGCAAACAAGUAGAAUGGUUUUAUGUGUUGUCCAUGCCCUGAUUGUGGGAAUACGAUGUCUUACUCUGGCAGGAAAAUCCUUCACACCCACCUGCUUUACAAGGGUUUCUUGCCACACUAUAAUGUUUGGACGAGGCACGGAGAAAUAGGGGUUAUGAUGGAAGACGACGAAGAAGAAGAGUACGAUGACAACUAUGUGCCCCCUGAAUACCGUGAUGCUGCAACGGGGGGAGCUGGUGAAGAUCAAUAGGAACCAGACGAUGUGCCCAAUGAUGCUGCAAAGGGUGAAGCUGCUGAAGAUCAAGAGGAACCAGACGAUGUGCCCGAUGAUGAUGAUCUCCGCCGGGUCAUUGUCGAUGCAAGGACGCAAUGUGAAAGUCAAAAGGAGAAGCUGAAGUUCGAUCGCAUGUUAGAGGAUCACAAAAAAGGGUUGUACCCCAAUUGCGAAGAUGGCAACACAAAGCUCGGUACCGUACUGUAAUUGCAGCGGUGGAAGGCAGAGAAUGCUGUGCCUGACAAAGGAUUUGAGAAGCUACUGAAAAUAUUGAAGAAGAAGUUUCCAACACCGGCACCACCGUGGUGAGCCUCUUGUUCUUAUUUUCUUUCUGAAAGGAAAAAAUAUUCUUACUUGUAUGUUUACAUAGAUACUUGUAUUAUUUUCUUACUUUUAUUAUUGCAUCUUAUAUAGUGCGAUGGUUUUGGUAUCCUCCCCUGUCGGCCCUCGUCCUGUCUAUGAUUCGGAUGUGGUAUAUAUUAUCUUUUUAUAACUAUUUGGUUCAUUUAUUGUUUAUGACAAUUAUGCCGACCAACGUGACAUAGAUUUUAUUUAUUUAGAAGGUGGUUGAACCGGAAAUUUCAACCGACCCUAUUGUCGAGAGGUUAAAUUUAGUUGAAGAAGAAAACAAUUUCUUGAAGGAAAAAAUAAAAAAAUUGAGGAGGAGAAGAUGAUAUUGGAGUUGCAUGUUGCGGAUGUCGUCGAUGAUCACAAGAUCAAGAUGGAUGCAAUGCGGUUGAAGAUUAGAAAUAUUAGAAAAUAUGCCAUUCAUACCGAGGAUUGGUAUCAUUAUGCCAUUGGAUCAAUUGUUACCUUGGUUGCGAUUAUGAUCGCAUUUGUUUUCGCAUUGAAAUGUUUUACAUAGUUUCAAUGUAUGGUGAAAGUUAAUUAGAUGCUCUGGAGAGCUAUAUGUUGUUAGAUGAGAACUAUGUAUGUACUUUGGUUUUAAUGUGAUGAUGAACUUCUAUUAAUUUGGUCACUUAAUUAUCUAUUCAUGUUGUUCUGUAAUGGUUUUUGACACACUUAAUUAUAUAUAAUGCAGGCAGAUGAACCGGCAAUGGAUGUAUGGUGACAGACACACCUUCGAGUACAUUAAGGGCGUGCAUGAGUUUCUUGAUGCGACUGAGGCAAAGAAGCAGAAUGGUUUUAUGUGUUGUCCAUGCACUAAAUGUGGGAAUACGAUGUCUUACUCUAACCGGAAAAUCCUUCACUCCCACCUGCUUUACAAGGGUUUCAUGCCACACUAUAAUGUUUGGACGUGGCACGGAGCAAUAGGGGUUAUGAUGGCAGACGGCGAAGAAAAGAGUACGAUGACAACUAUGUGCCCCCUGAAUAUGGUGAUGCUGCAACGGGGGGAGCUGGUGAAGAUCAAGAGGAACAAGAUGAUGUGCCCAAUGAUGCUGCAACGGGUGAAGCUACUGAAGAUCAAGAGGAACCAAACGAUGUGUCCGAUGAUGAUGAUCUCCACCGGGUCAUUGUCGAUGCAAGGACGCAAUGCGAAAGUCAAAAGGAGAAGCUGAAGUUCGAUCGCAUGUUAGAUGAUCACAAAAAGGGUUGUACCCCAAUUGCGAAGAUGGCAACACAAAGCUCGGUACCAUACUGGAAUAGCUGCAGUGGAAGGCAGAGAAUGUUGUGGCUAACAAAGGAUUUGAGAAGCUACUGAAAAUAUUGAAGGAGAAGCUUCCAAAGGAUAACGAAUUGCCCGACAGUACAUAUGCAGCAAAGAAGGUCGUAUUCCCUCUAGGAUUGGAGGUGCAGAAGAUACAUGCAUGCCCUAAUGACUGCAUCCUCUACCGCGGUGCAUACAAGGAUCUGAACGCAUGCCCGGUAUGCGGUGCAUUGCGGUAUAAGAUCAAACGAGAUGACCCUGGUGAUGUUGACGGCGAGCCCCCCGGGAAGAGGGUUCCUGCGAAGGUGAUGUGGUAUGCUCCUAUAAUACCACGGUUGAAACGUCUGUUUAGAAACGGAAAGCAUGCCAAGUCGGUGCGAUGGCACAGUGAGGACCGUAAGAAAGACGGGAAGUUGAGAGCACCUGCUGACGGGUCGCAGUGGAGAAAAAUCGUGAGAAAGUACUGGGAUGAGUUUGCAAAGGAUCCAAGGAACGUAUGGUUUGCUUUAAGCGCGGAUGGCAUUAAUCCUUUCGGGGAGCAGAGCAGCAAUCACAGCACCUGGCCGGUCACUCUAUGUAUGUAUAACCUUCCUCCUUGGAUGUGCAUGAAGCAGAAGUUCAUUAUGAUGCCAGUUCUCAUCCAAGGCCCUAAGCAACCCGGCAACUACAUUGAUGUGUACCUAAGGCCAUUAGUUGAAGAAUUUUUACAGCUGUGGAAUGGAAACGGUGUACGUACGUGGGAUGAGCACGGACAAGAGGAAUUUAACCUAAAGGCGUUGUUGUUCGUGACCAUCAACGAUUGGCCCACUCUCAGUAACCUUUCAGGACAGACAAACAAAGGAUACCACGCAUGCACACACUGUUUAGAUGACACUGAAAGUAUAUACCUGGACAAAUGCAGGAAGAAUGUGUACCUGGGCCAUCAUCGAUUUCUUCCGACCAACCAUCAAUGUCGAAAGAAAGGCAAGCAUUUCAAAGGCGAGGCAGAUCACCGGAAGAAGCCCGCCAUGCGUACCGGUGAUCACGUACUUGCUAUGGUCAAUGAUUUACACGCAAUCUUUGGAAAGGGUCCCGGCGCACUAGCUGUUCCGGAUGACGCUGAGGGACACGCACCCAUGUGGAAGAAGAAAUUUAUAUUUUGGGACCUACCCUACUGGAAAGACCUAGAGGUCCGCUCUUCAAUCGACGUGAUGCACGUGACGAAGAACCUUUGCGUGAACCUGCUAGGCUUCUUGGGCGUGUAUGGAAAGACAAAAGAUACACCUGAGGCAUGGGAGGACCUGCAACGUUUGCACGAAAAAGACGGCAUGCCUCAGAAGCGGUAUGAAGGUCCUGCCAGCUACGCUCUUAUGAAAGAAGAGAAAGAAAUCUUCUUUGAAUGCCUGCUCAGUAUGAAGGUCCCGACUGGCUUCUCGUCGAAUAUAAAGGGAAUAAUAAAUAUCCCAGAGAAAAAGUUCCAGAACCUAAAGUCUCAUGACUGCCACGUGAUUAUGACGCAACUGCUUCCGGUUGCAUUGAGGGGGCUUCUACCGGAAAACGUCCGAUUAGCCAUUGUGAAGCUAUGUGCAUUUCUCAAUGCAAUCUCUCAGAAGGUGAUCGAUCCAGAAAUGGUACCAAGGCUAAGGAGUGAUGUGGCGCAAUGUCUUGUCAGUUUCGAGCUGGUGUUCCCACCAUCCUUCUUCAAUAUCAUGACGCAUGUCCUAGUUCAUCUAGUCGAUGAGAUUGUCAUUCUGGGGCCCGUAUUUCUACACAAUAUGUUCCCCUUUGAGAGGUUCAUGGGAGUGCUAAAGAAAUAUGUCCGUAACCGCGCUAGGCCAGAAGGAAGCAUCUCCAUGGGCCAUCAAACAGAGGAUGUCAUCGGGUUUUGUGUUGACUUCAUUCCUGGCCUUAAGAAGAUAGGUCUCCCUAAAUCGCGGUAUGAGGGGAGACUGACUGGAAAAGGCACGCUAGGAGCGGACUCAAUAAUAUGCAGGGACGGGCAUUCUUGCUCUCAAGCACACUACACAGUUCUACAUAACUCUACCUUGGUGACCCCGUAUGUCGAUGAACACAAGAACAGUCUGCGCUCCAAACACCCGGAGCAGUGCGACGACUGGAUUACAUGUGAACACAUUAGGACUUUCAGCAGUUGGUUGGAAGCACGUCUUAGAGGUCACAACACUGUUUGUGAUGAGUUGUACUUGUUGUCCAGGGGACCAUCUUUGACUGUAUUGAUUUACAAAGGAUACGAGAUAAAUGGGAAUACAUUCUACACGAUUGACCAAGAUCAAAAGAGCACCAACCAAAACAGCGGUGUCCGCUUUGAUGCAACAACCGAGAAGGGAAAGGACACAUAUUGUGGUUACAUAGUGGACAUAUGGGAACUUGACUACGGACAAGAUUUUAAGGUCCCUUUGUUUAAGUGCAAAUGGGUCAAUCUGUCAGGAGGCGGGGUACAUGUAGACCCGCAGUACGGAAUGACAACAGUCGAUCUGAAAUAUCUUGGGUACACUGACGAACCGUUCGUCCUAGCCAAUGAUGUGGCACAUGUUAUCUAUGUGAAGGACAUGUCUACCAGACCAAGAAAAAGAAAAGAUAAGGAAACGAAUACAUCAUACGAUGAGCCAAAGCGCCACAUAGUUCUUUCAGGAAAAAGGAACAUCCUGGGAGUGGAGGGCAAGACAGACAUGUCUGAAGAUUAUGAAAGGUUUCAUGAAAUUCUUCCCUUGAAUGUCAAGGCUGACCCAAGCAUCCUGAUAAACGAUGAAGAUUAUCCAUAGUUACGGCACAAUAAGCAAAUGACACAAGCGAAGAAAAAGUGAAGACUUUCUCCCGUAACUAUUAUGAUGAUACCAUGCCAAAUUUAUAACAGACGAGUAUGCUAUGCCAACUUUUCAGAGUUCAUUUGAAAACUAUGAAUUUAGGUCGAAUUUUCUCUAUAGGUGCAUCUAUGUACAUUUUUUUAGUAAAGUUAAUCACAAACUUGUGAUUCACACAAAUUUUGAAGAAUUCAAAUUUUAACUAUUCAAAUUUGAAAACUAAUGGCACUAACAGAAAGUUUAUAUUUUUCCUAAAACUAAUGGCACUAACAGAAAGUUUAUAAUUUUGCUGACCUAAAAGCAAAAAAGAAUUAAAAAAUAAAGCAAGAAACAAAAUAAAAUAAAUAAAGCAACAAAGAAAACUAAAAAACUAAAAAAGUGUUUUCAAAUUUGAAAACUAAUGGCACUAACAGAAAGUUUAUAAUUUUUUUAAAACUAAAAGCUAAAAGAAUUAAAAAAUAAAGCAAGAAACAAAAGAAAAUAAAUAAUGCAGAAAACAAAAAAAACUGGAAAAAAACUAAAUAUAGCAAAAUAAGUAUUUAGUUCUAAGUNNNNNNNNNNNNNNNNNNNNNNNNNNNNNNNNNNNNNNNNNNNNNNNNNNNNNNNNNNNNNNNNNNNNNNNNNNNNNNNNNNNNNNNNNNNNNNNNNNNNNNNNNNNNNNNNNNNNNNNNNNNNNNNNNNNNNNNNNNNNNNNNNNNNNNNNNNNNNNNNNNNNNNNNNNNNNNNNNNNNNNNNNNNNNNNNNNNNNNNNNNNNNNNNNNNNNNNNNNNNNNNNNNNNNNNNNNNNNNNNNNNNNNNNNNNNNNNNNNNNNNNNNNNNNNNNNNNNNNNNNNNNNNNNNNNNNNNNNNNNNNNNNNNNNNNNNNNNNNNNNNNNNNNNNNNNNNNNNNNNNNNNNNNNNNNNNNNNNNNNNNNNNNNNNNNNNNNNNNNNNNNNNNNNNNNNNNNNNNNNNNNNNNNNNNNNNNNNNNNNNNNNNNNNNNNNNNNNNNNNNNNNNNNNNNNNNNNNNNNNNNNNNNNNNNNNNNNNNNNNNNNNNNNNNNNNNNNNNNNNNNNNNNNNNNNNNNNNNNNNNNNNNNNNNNNNNNNNNNNNNNNNNNNNNNNNNNNNNNNNNNNNNNNNNNNNNNNNNNNNNNNNNNNNNNNNNNNNNNNNNNNACCAAAGGCCGCCGCUUCCCGCCCUUUGGGCUGCUGAAAAGGGACCUUUGGUCCCGGUUGGUGGCACCAACCGGGACUAAAGGGGGGCAUCCAUUGGUCCCGGUUGGUGCCAUGAACCGGGACCAAAGCCUUUUCUAUAUAAGCAAACACUUAGCAGUUUUCGACCAAAUCACGCACUUCUCCCCCGACGCCCCCUGCUCCUCCUCGUCACCGUCGCCGCCCGACGCCCCUGCUCCUCCUCGUCGCCAUCGCCACCGACGCCGUCAGGCUGCUCGCCUUCACCGUCGCUGCCGCCACCGACGCCGUCAGGCUGAUCACCUUCGCCGUCACCGCCGCCCCCUGUGAGCACAGCCCCCUUCCGUCCCACGCCCCUGCGCCCCUCUCCUGCGCGGCCGCCGCACCGCCGCCCCUGCCCUGCGCGGCUGCCGUGCGCCGCCCCUGCCCUGCCCGCCGGUGCCACCGCUGCCGGCAUGCCCCUCUGCCCCGCCAGCGCCAACAAUUUUUUUAUUAGUUUAUUUUUUUCAUAUAUAUAUAAUGUAUGUGUAUGUAUGUGGCUAUAUGUUUCUGUUCAUAUGUUGCAAUAUGUCUUUUUAUUUUUAUUAGUUUAUUUUUUUGUUCAUAUGUGAUGUAUAUGUGUAUGUGGCUAUAAUGUAUAUGUGUAUGUGAUGUAUGUGGCUAGAAUUUGCUAAAUAUAUAUGUUAAAAAUGUUUUUUUGUUCAUAGAAAGUUUUUUGUUCAUAUAUAGAAAGUUACAAUUUUAGAAAAGUUUUAUAUAUGCAAAAGUUACAAUUUUAGAAAAAGAAGGAUAGGAAAGAAGAAAAUAAGAAGAGGAAAGAAAGAAGAAGAGGAGAGGAAAAGAAGAGGAGAAAUAAAUAAGAAGAAGAAAAAAGAAGAAAAAGAAGAGGAGAANNNNNNNNNNNNNNNNNNNNNNNNNNNNNNNNNNNNNNNNNNNNNNNNNNNNNNNNNNNNNNNNNNNNNNNNNNNNNNNNNNNNNNNNNNNNNNNNNNNNNNNNNNNNNNNNNNNNNNNNNNNNNNNNNNNNNNNNNNNNNNNNNNNNNNNUUCUUCUUUUCUUCUUCUUCUUCUUCUUCUUAAUUUUUAUCGGGAACGAGGGUGUCGAGGAUCGCCGAGGGGUGGAGGGUCGGGAACUAGGGUGGAGGGUUCGAGGGGUCGAGGAUCGCUCGGCACUAGGCAACCUCCCGACCCCUCGGCGAUCCUCUCGAACAUGAGAGGACGAAGAGUAUAAAAAAAGAAGAGGAAGAAGAAAAAAAGAGGAGAAGAAAGAAUAGAGGAGUUCUUCUCCUCUAUUCUUUCUUCUCCUCUUUUUUUUCUUAUUCUUCCUCUUUUUUUUAUCGGGAACGAGGGUCGUCGAGGGACAUAGAUGUAGUGUCGUCGUUGUCGAUAUACCCCCUCCCGAUAGGUUCAACACGUGGGGGGGGGGGUCGAUUUUACCCCCUCCUUGAAGCAUUCUCGAGGCCACCCUAAACCCUUGAAGCGUUGUCGAGGCCACCCCAAACCCUAGAGAAGCAGCGUCGAGGUCACUAAUUAAUAUAUAUGAUUCCUUACUAUGUUUAGCUAGCUAGUUCUAUGUUUGCCACUAAUAUAUCCAUUUGUCAUGUUUGAAUAAUAAUUGCCAUGUUGUAAAUAUUUGUAGAAACUAUGGACACCGCCCGAGACGAAGCAAACGAAGCGAUGUUAAGGGACAUAAUCGCACAAGGAAGUGAUGCCGUCUCGUUGUUUCUCAACGACACCGAUGGUCUGGAAGGAGAGGGUGAAGAAGCUGGCUCUGGUGACCUAAUGCCGGUGCAAGAAGAAGAACGUCAGGACGGCUCCGGUGACCCAAUGCCGGUGAAAGAAGGAGACCGUGAUGACGGCUCCGGUGACCGAACCGAGUCCGGCCAGGUAUAUAUAUUAGUUAAGCCUAUGUUGACUAGCUAAUUGAUGCAUUCAUUAUUUUGGUAUGUACACAUAUUAAUUAAGUUUUUGAUCUUUUUUCUAGCCCUCCGGAUCGAGCACAACUGAGGUAAAGAGACGAGGCCCGAAGAAAAAGUUGAGCUCAGAUGAAAGGUUUGAGAUCAUAGCAAUCGCACCCUACGGCCAACCUAUUGAACCCAUCCGAACAAAGAAGGCAUUUGUUGCUCAGUGCGGGGUUCUGGUUAGGGACAAGAUCCCGAUCAGCAUCCAGCAAUGGUUAAAGCUGGCUACAGAAGAAUGAUAUGCAGAAAAAUGAUCUUUGGACUGAGCUGAAGACAAAUUUCACCCUACCACCAGAGGAUGAUCCGGAGAAGCCAGUUAAAGAGGAAUUAAUCAAGUCUUUUGCUCUUAAGAGGAUGGCAGACCUAUUCAGGAGGUGGAAGAAAGACCUGAAUAGGUUUGUCGAGAAAAAAGAGACACCAGAAUUCAAGGGCAUAUAUGAGAAGAUCAGAGAUGACUGGCCUGCAUUUGUGGCCCACAAGACAUCGGCAAAGAGUAAGAAGAUGUCGGCGACAAACAAGAAAAAUGCUGCGAAGAAGAAGCUUCACCAUCGCACGGGGUCAGGUGGCUACCUCGUAGCCCGGCCUAAGUGGGCCAAGGCUGAGAAUGAUCUGGUUGCAAAAGGGAUCAAACCAGAGACAAUGAGCUGGCCAGACCGUUGCCGGACUUGGUUCUUCAGGGCUGGCGGAACCUUGGACCCUGUAACAGGGAAGUGCAUUUGGACGGAUGAGCAACUUGACAUACCCUUGAAGAAGCUUCGGUACUAUAUUGCUGCAGCGCAGAAAGGGACGUUCCUUCCAGACAGAGAGAACGACGAGCUCACAAAGGCCCUCGGAAAUCCUGAGCACCCUGGACGGACAUGAGGCACGCCAGGCUCCAUUCCGUGGAAGGCUGGGUUUCCGGACGCAGGCGGUUACAAAAGCCACGAGAGGAGGAAAAAAGUGUAGUAGACCGAACUCCAGGCGCUGCACGCAAGGGUACAAGCGAUAGAGGAACGAGAAGCAAAUCGCAGCAAACGACUUGCCGAAGCUUCCCCUGAAGCUACCCCGCCAUCUCAGCGGAGAAGCAGCGUGGCUUCCACCGAGCUGCUUCAGCCGCAGCUUGUCUUGACUGCUCCUGCCAGCUAUCCCGUGGAUGCUAUCACGGAGGCUCAAAAUUGCCACCUUAUGACGCAAUGGAUUAAUAUGAAGGUCAAGGCGGCUGUUGGCUCUAUUUUUCCUAAUGAACCCGGCAUAACUUUUCACUGCCGGCCGAUUCCAGAAGGAUAUGCUAAGGUGAUGGUGGAUGAAAUAACAGAAGGAUUUGAGGACCUCCAGCUUGACCACCCUACCGGAGAAGGGGAGACUCGGCUGGGUUCUUCUCUGAAGACUCCAUGCCUAUGGCGGAAGGAGCUCAUCAACCUUCCGAACUGGACGCCUCCGCCUCCUCCUCCUCCUCCGGCGAGUCAGGGAACUCCGCCUCCUCCACCGCCUCCUCCUCCGGCGAGUGACGAUCAGGGCCCUCGGCCAGCUCCUUCUCUGGCGCGUGGCGGCACUCCGCCUCCUUCUCCGCCUGCGCCGGCGCGCCCGAGCAGCCAUCCUCCUCCUUCUCCGCCUCGUCAGCAAGGGCGGAAGAGACCCGCCGCCGCUCCGGCAGCUGCUCCGGCGCGUCGUAGUCCUUCUCCUCCGCCUCGUAAGCAAGUAAAUAAGACGGUCGCUCCGUCUGUUCGGCCGGCGUCUAGCAGUACAGCCAGAGGCGGGAGGACAUACAGAUUCGGUCCUUCUCUGAAGACUCCAGAGAAGUUACCAUACGAGAGGACCCCGGAGGAGAACGCGAGGAUUGCGCGAACCGAGGUGGAUGACUGAUUUCAAGGGUUGAAAGCAAAGAGACAUCCACCUCCGGAAGAGAAGGUAGAUCCGGUGAAAGUGAAGCGCACUCUGCCUGCCCUGGCAAAACCACCCAAGUCUCCGCCGAAAGGCAACUAUGAGCGCAUUAUUGCAAAGACAUGGGCCGAAGCAGAGCGUUCGGGAAGUACAGUCAGUGAUCAAAGGCUGAAAGAACGACGAGCAGCUGGGAAACAAAUUGCCCAGCUCGGCGAACAAGCAAAGCAAUCGUGCCCCCCGCUCAAGGUGCCUAGCGACAUCGUCGAUCCGAGGAUGGUGCCCGGUUAUAGCAAUCUUGACGAUUACCUACCCGACGAAGUACAUUAUGAUCCCAUGGAUGUGUAGAUACACAGAUACGAGUACGGGAAGCCUCUCGUCAAAGAUGAAAAAUCUCUAUCAACGAUGAUGCGAAGAUUGCAUGAUUGGUACUUGAAAAUCUGCAGAGAGUCAGGGGGAGGAGUACUUUGUAUGCGAGAAUUAAACCGGAGCAUGACCUCGUUGGAAUUGAACUGUUGCCUAUUCAAUUUGAGGAGUUCUAUCAGUUUUUCAAUCAAUUGGCCCUCGAUAAAACAACGGUCACCUGCUACUGUCUGUAAGUACUACUACUUCUGUCAUUAAGUCUCUCUAUAUAGCUCAGCUCUUUCAUUGCAUGUAUUUAUAAUUAUCCUCACUAUAUUAUGCAGAUUGAAAAUCGCCGAAUUGAAGAAAAGACAAAUCGGUGAUAUUGGGUUCGUUAACACAUAUCUCAUAGAUGCAACUGAGGUUGACAAAAGGCCCAAAGAAACCGAGGCCAACUUGCUACGAUCAUUCAAAAUAAAUGAACACAAAGAUAUAAUACUCUUUCCUUACAACUUCAAGUGAGUGUUACUAUCUUGUGCAUAUUCGGUUUCCCUUAUAUAUUAGUCCAGGUUAUAGUAAUGUAAUUGAUGAGUUAUGCAUGCGUGCGCAGGUACCACUAUAUUCUCCUAGAGAUUAUUCUUGAGAAGGGAGUAGUAACUAUCUUGGACUCUAGACGAAAAGAUCCCCAGGAGUAUGCGGACAUGACUGAAAUCCUCAAGAAGUAAGUUAAAUCGAUCAUUAUCCACCAUAUCAGCAACUUUGUUCAUUUCCUGAUAUCAACUAAUUGUUUUCUUUGUCUGGCAGGGUUUGGAGAAAAUUCACCAAAAAAGCUCCGGGACUGCCGAAGGAGCUGCAAAUUAGACACCCGAAAGUAAGUACUAUAGUAGCAUGUUCCGCGCAUCUCCUAGUGAUUCAAGCGCUAGUUUCAUCAAUAUCAUUUGGCAUUCUUGCUUAUCAGUUUGAUUGACCUCUAUUUCUUGUAAAGUGGUUGUGGCAGGAACAAGUAAAUGAUUUCUGUGGAUACUACGUCUGCGAGUCCAUCCGCCACACGACCUGUGAGCGGGGCGGGUACACUGACGAACAAUAUGAAGUGCGUAAAUAACAAUAUUCACAAUUUUAUUUUAUUACCAUCAUUUGUGUUGAGUUUCAUUCAUUUAUAUAUAUAUAUAUAUAUGUAUUGACCCCCUUCUUCAAAUUAGAUGUUUCGGAUGCGGAAUGAACUCCUAGCACCAGAUCGCAUGCGAGCAAUUCAAGAGGAAUUGGCGGCAUUCUUUCUUGACCACGUGAUCGCUGAAGACGGAGAAUACUAUGUGGACCAUGCGUCCAUAAUGUAGGAGAUUAUAUUUGUAAGAGAUAAUUAUUGUAUAUAUGUAGCCGGUAGUGUCGGACGAUAGAUAUACGAGAACUUGUUGUUCGACCAAUCUCUCGGAGAAGGAGAGGUGGUCGAUAUCACUUCUCUCUGUAUGCAUAUAUGUUCAUGACGAUCUUCUGUUUCCUUCAUUUGCUUACUAGCUAGCUAGCGUGUCUAGUCCUCUCUAUACGUAUGUAUAGUUUACGUAGCGUCGACCAAGCACGGACAUAAGAGAGGACACUUCUCUCUGUUAAUUAGCUAUCUAACACAAUAUAUGAAAUACCUAAAUUAACCCCCAAAACUGUUGGGGAACGUAACAGAAAUUCAAAAUUUUCCUACGUGUCACCAAGAUCUAUCUAUGGAGAGACCAGCAACGAGGGGAAGGAGAGUGCAUCUACAUACCCUUGUAGAUCACUAAGCGGAAGCGUUCAAGUGAACGGGGUUGAUGGAGUCGUACUCGUCGUGAUCCAAAUCACCGAUGAUCCUAGUGCCGAACGGACGGCACCUCCGCGUUCAACACACGUACAGCCCGGUGACGUCUCCCAUGCCUUGAUCCAGCAAGGAGAGAGGGAGAGAUUGAGGAAUACUCCAUCCAGCAGCAGCACAAUGGCGUGGUAGUGGUGGAGGAGCGUGGCAAUCCUGCAGGGCUUCGCCAAGCACCACAGGAGAGGAGAAGGACUUGGGAGAGGGGAAGGGCUGCACCAAAGGCAAAAAGGUGAGAAGUCCUCCAUCUCCCUACUAUAUAUAGGGGGGCCAAGGGGGGCGCCGGCCCUAGGAGAUCCAAUCUCCUAGGGGGGGGCGGCGGCCAAGGGAGGAAUCCCUCCUCCCCAAGGCACCUAGGAGGUGCCUUCCCCUUCUGGACUCUUCCUUUAGGGUUUCCCCCACACUAUGCGCAUGGGCCCUAGGGGAAAGUGGCGCCCCAGCCCACUUUGGGCUGGAUCCCUUCCCACUUCAGCCCAUGGGACCCUCCGGGAUAGGUGGCCCCACCCGGUGGGCCCCCGGGACCCUUCCGGUGGUCCCGGUACAAUACCGAUGACCCCAAAACUUGUCCCGAUGGCCGAAAUAGGACUUCCUAUAUAUAAAUAUUUACCUCCGGACCAUUUCGGAACUCCUCGUGACGUCCGGGAUCUCAUCCGGGACUCCGAACAACAUUCGGUAACCACAUACAAACUUCCUUUAUAACCCUAGCGUCAUCGAACCUUAAGUGUGUAGACCCUAUGGGUUCGGGAGACAUGCAGACAUGACCAAGACGUUCUCCGGUUAAUAACCAACAGCGGGAUCUGGAUACCCAUGUUGGUUCCCACAUGUUCCACGAUGAUCUCAUCGGAUGAACCACGAUGUCAAGGACUUAAUCAAUACCGUAUACAAUUCCCUUUAUCUAUCGGUACGAUACUUGCCCAAGAUUCGAUCGUCGGUAUCCCGAUACCUUGUUCAAUCUCGUUACCGGCAAGUCUCUUUACUCGUUCCGUAACACAUCAUCCCGUGAUCAACUCCUUGGUCACAUUGUGCACAUUAUGAUGAUGUCUUACCGAGUGGGCCCAGAGAUACCUCUCCGUCACAUGGAGUGACAAAUCCCAGUCUCGAUUCGUGCCAACCCAACAGACACUUUCGGAGAUACCCGUAGUGCACCUUUAUAGUCACCCAGUUACGUUGUGACGUUUGGCACACCCAAAGCACUCCUACGGUAUCCGGGAGUUGCACAAUCUCAUGGUCUAAGGAAAUGAUACUUGACAUUAGAAAAGCUUUAGCAUACGAACUACACGAUCUUGUGCUAGGCUUAGGAUUGGGUCUUGUCCAUCACAUCAUUCUCCUAAUGAUGUGAUCCCGUUAUCAACGACAUCCAAUGUCCAUGGUCAGGAAACCGUAACCAUCUAUUGAUCAACGAGCCAGUCUACUAGAGGCUUAUUAGGGACAUGGUGUUGUCUAUGUAUCCACACAUGUAUCUGAGUUUCCUAUCAAUACAAUUAUAGCAUGGAUAAUAAACGAUUAUCAUGAACAAGGAAAUAUAAUAAUAACUUAUUUAUUAUUGCCUCUAGGGCAUAUUUCCAACAAAAACCCCCUACCCCCUUAAAAAAAACAAAAACCCCAGCCACAGAAAUGCUGACGCGUGGAGGCCUAUUGGUCCCGGUUGGUGCCACGAACCGGGACCAAAGGCCCUCCAGCCUGGGCUCAGCGCGCAGGCCACGUGAAGGCUCAUCUGUCCCGGUUCUGGUUAGAACCGGGACUAAAGGGUCAGGGCAUUAGUAACGACCCUUUAGUCCCGGUUCAGGAACCGAGACAAAAAGCCUUUAUGAACCGGGACAAUAGGCCCGUUUUCUACUAGUGAGAGCAGGCGGCUGCUUUAAAUGAUUACACCAGCAUGUUGAAAUAUUGUUUUCCUUUGUACAAAAGGUUGUGAUAUAUUUUGGGACCUCUACAGCUUCAAUCGUGAUUCACGGUAGCAGCAGUAGGUUCGAGUCCUCGGAUGAACCCAUGGAUUAUGAACACGAGUCCUUCAUGAGGUUAAUAAAUUAUAUAUGCCCCCUUUUUCCUCAAGAAGGUGUAUUUUCUACUCACACUGGGCUCGCCAUACCAAUGUUUUAGGAACUCGGAGUCCCGUGGUAUUGGAAUGCCUGGAGAUCUGAAUCAGACAGAUGCUGGCCAUUGCUCGAGGUAUCCCCAAAUGUCAGGUUUAUCCUUUUGUGAAACAUAUAUGCCAUUUGAGAUUUCAAGAAUAAAAGCACUAUCAUUUUAGAAAGCCCGUAGAAGUAAUUAGGUUUGAUUGCAUCACAUCUAGCUUAUCGUAUUUAUUCUGUUAUUAGCAUCCUCUGAUCACAAAACAUACUCCCUCCGUCUAGAUGUGUAAGUCACCUUACGAAAACCAAAUAAUCCCAAAACACCUAGGCACGGACAUUAACUCCCUCCUCGUUUCUUGUUUUGUGACAUAUCAACCAAUAAGAGACGUGGGCCGUGCAUGCUUUCAAUGACUUGAGACUACCAAACAUGACAUGCACUGGUUAGUUCAUUGCAUGCAAUGCUAUUAAUAAGCAAAAAGACAUUAAGUUUUCUCGUUUUCCUCUCCGCCUUGGUCGAGGUGCACAAUGUAAGAUGACUUACACACCUAGACGGAGGGAGUAUGUUUUCUCAUUGUCUCCUGGGUUGUCAACAGGGAGAAAGGAAGUGUUCACACUCUCGUCACCAUGGAUAUAACGGAUAUUACUACAGUCACUAUUGGAAUCAAUGAGUAUGUCAAUCUUUUUCAGUGGGCUAGAUCUACUAUUUCAUCCAAAUGGAGAGGCACUCAGGAGCAAGGGUUUCAAAAUAAAUUAUUUCACUUGCAGAGUGUCUUGCAACGCCUCAGUGACAGUCUUCCGGAAAUGUAUGACCCCAUUAAUCGAGCGGAGUGGAGAAGCCACAAAGAUGGCGUGGCCGAGCUCCUUCCAAAACUCAAGGAUGUAGUCUAUGAUGUUGAAGACCUUCUUGACGAGCUGAGAUGGUACAACCAUAAGGUGAUAGUGGAGGGCAAUGCAAGCCAAUUAUCUAUUACUGACUUCUUUAACAGCUUCAUCAAUGUGAAUGAUAUCCAUGAAAGGCUAGAUCAUAUUUCCAAUCGCCUGGAUAAAAAGGGGUUGGGUGAACUGACACCACGGUUUGACAGAACAGUCAGGCCAGAGACUAGCUCUUUCCCCAAUGAAACAAAAAUAUUUGGUCGUCACAUGGAGCUAAAGCGCAUAUUAAGAGUGCUCGGUGUGCCUACACACAGUCAUUCGGAACACAAGUGGGUAAGUAGUGCUAAUGAAUCAAGAUUACCCAAUCUUCCUGUUUUGUCGAUAGUUGGAAGUGGGGGUGUUGGAAAGACUACUCUGGCCCAACAUAUCUGUAGUCAUCCACAAGUGAAGUCUCACUAUGACACAGUGAUUUGGAUUUGCGUCUCAGAUGAUUUCGACGAGAAGAGGCUAACUAAAGAGGCUAUAGAAUCAUGUCCCGGUAAAGAGGCAACAACUAACAAUCUUAAUUCUCUUCAGCAUGCUCUUUCUGACAUACUAGACAACAGAAAGUUCUUGAUUGUCCUUGAUGAUUUGUGGGAUGAUGCUCUGAAGGAAAAUGGCCAGUGCUGGAAGAGGUUUUGUGCACCUUUGAAAAAUGUGCUACAAGGAAGUAUGAUGUUAGUCACCACCAGAUCUCCAAAAGUUGCUGAUUUAGUAUGCACAAUGGAGCCAAUUAUAUUAGAGGGUUUAAAGGAUGAUGAAUUUUGGAAUUUCUUCAAACUGUGUGUGUUUGGAUCUGAGAGUUCCAAUGAUUUUCCAGAGUUGGAUCUCAUUGGUAGAAAUAUACUUCCUAAAUUGAAAGGCUCUCCUUUAGCGGCUAGAACUCUUGGACGUAUGUUACAGGAUGACCUUCGUACAUCACAUUGGAAUAAUAUACUAGACAGUGAAUUGUGGGAGUUGGACCAAGAGAGGACUGAAAUUGUGCCAGCUCUACGGUUGAGCUACAUAUAUUUACCAUUCCACUUGAAGAGAUGUUUUUCAUUUUGUGCUGUGUAUCCCAAAGAUAAGGAGUUUGAAAAGGAUAACAUAGCAGAAAUUUGGGCAGCAGAAGGAUUUGUGAAAUGUCAAGGUGUUGUUCCACUUCAAGAUAUUGGUUGUCAAUACUUUAAUGACCUUUUAAAUCGGUCCUUCUUUCAAGAAGUUCAAGGCAAAUACUUAAUCCAUGACUUGUUGCAUGAUAUGGCACAAAAAGUUUCCGAGGAUGAUUGUUUCAUUGUGAAAAGGACGGUUGACUUCAAAAGGAUUCCUCGGAAUGUCCGGCAUUUGACAGUACUCACUGGCAAAGAGAUAUAUAAUUCUGACUUGUCGAGCCUAUGCCAGUACAAAAAACUUCAUACCCUUCUUUGCAACAAACAUUUGGGAAAUAAAAAAACCCCAACUCAUUUGGUGGAAGAUUGGUGCAAUGAACUUCCGCGUAUGCGUGUGAUUGUUUGUGCAACCAUGAAUGAGUUACCAGCUAGCAUUGGCAAAUUGAAGCAUCUUCGAUACCUUGAGAUAUCCAGAUCAUGUUCUGUCACCAGUUUUCCUACAACAUUCUGUAGGCUCCAUAAUUUGCAGGUUUUAUGUGUCAAGCAAUGCCGGGUAGAAAGCUUGCCCAGUGAUUUCAAUAGGUUGAUCAACUUAUGGAGAUUUGAAUCGCAGGGAUUUAAAUAUGGUCCAAAUAUUAGAGGAUUUCCAGAAGAAUAUUAUGGAUUAAAUAUUGAUGCAGCCAGAGAUAAGUCUGGACUAGGAUGUAGGUUGAUAAAAAAUAUGGAGCAACUUCGUGGACAUUUGGUGAUAAACAAUGUUUACAAGCUAAGCAAGGAUCAUUCAGCAGAAGCCAAACUAAAGAAUAAGGAAUGUUUUGACAAGGUGACGCUGGAUUGGAGAAAUCUGGAUAAAAAAUCCAUUGCCACUUCUGUCAGUGAGGAAAACGAGAUAGAAGUCCUUCGAGAUCUACAACCUCCUGCAAGUAUCAAGUCUCUAGUCCUUGACGGGAAUCCAGGUGUUGCUUCUCCGACCUGGUUUAACCCACAAAGCCUGUCAAGCUUAACAUCCGUUUCGUUUCUUCAUUGUAGUCGACUCAGGGUACUUAAUGGCAGCACUAGUUUUUCAUCCCUGACAGAUCUAAUCAUUGAUGGGUGCGACAGUUUAUCAAGUCUCGUACAACUUCUACAUCCAACUUAUCUACCAGCCAUCAAGAGAAUUGCAAUAAUGAAUUGCUGGAGCUUAAUAUCAUUAGGAACCGAAAGAUUUGGGGAUUUUCAUUGCCUUGAAAUAUUCAAGGUGCUGAAUUGUAGAUACAUAAACUCGAGUUUGACUGCCCCCUCUCUCAAGAAGCUCGUGCUAGAUGGUCGCUGUGGGAAUCUCACUGACAAUAUCCAAUGCUGCUCUCUCACCAACUUUUUCCUGAUAGGCGGCAGUCUCACGUCCAUCCAACUACAAAUGUGGAAUCUUCCUGCUCUACGGGAAUUGCAUAUUAAAAAUUGUGAAUCUCUUACAUCUAUUGGAGAAGCUGGACAGGUCUUCCCCAACCUCACUUCCCUAACAAUCAGUUACUGCAGAAAACUGUCAACCAUUCAGAGUAUUCCAUUUACCUCUCUACAGGAAUUGCGCAUUUCAUAUUGUGGAUCCCUUAAAUCUAUUCGACAAAGUGAAUAUCUACCUGCCAUUGAGAGUAUUACAUUUCACUAUUGUCCGCAAUUGUUCAUGUACGAUAAAAGGUUUGGGGGUUUUUCUUCUCUGAAGAAUUUGGAAAUUUCUGACUGCAAGGGUAUCAGCUGGGAGGGGUUGGUGUUAUUACUUAUUACCAUCGUCCCUCCAAAGUCUCCACUUAGAAGACUGUGGGGAUAUCUCUGCAUUUAUUCCUGUAGAAAACUAUAGGAUAGAUGAAUAUUGUUGUUGUGUUGUUUUGAUCUGACCCUCAUAUGGGGUAUAUAUAGAAUACACGAGGGGUAGAGGCUUGGAGUACAAGAUAAGUAAUACAUGGUUUAAACCUAUUCAAUCUACUUAUCUCUAUCUUUAAACCCAAACUAUAUUCUAACAUUCCCCCUCAGUCGUAGCGGGAGUGAAACGGACGAUUGCGACUGGAUUUGAAGUAUCGUGCUCGCGUCGUCUUCUCCGCUUCACCAUCAUCACCUGCAUCUCUAAUGGGUCGACACCUGGGGCGGUGAGUGCGUCCCCUUCCGGUGCCUUCCUUGUCUCUCCUCUAUUCCCUCCCGCAGUCACAGCGGGAGAGGCGUGGACGCUAGCGACGACUCGAACGCUGUUGACUGGAGUUGUUGUCGAUGAGUUGUCGUAGACGUAGACCUGUAUGUCGAUGUCGAGGUAGCCGAUCAUGUUGUUGCCGUGGUCGAGGUAGUCGUGGUCGAUGGUAUAGUCGUCGUGGAUGAUGAAGCCGCAUAAAGCUGGAGGCGCAAAAAAAUACGCUAUGACGGAGCUGGCGGACGUGAACGAUACACUUUGCGGAUGUCAGAGAGUGUCGUCAGCGAUGAGUCAACCGGUUUUGCCAAGACUGGAGGAAGCCCAUCGAGUACAUAUCAAUUUUGCCAGAACCGUGUGACCAUGUAGGGGUCGUCAAUGUAGUGACGCCGUGUCGACGCAGUCAUGCCGUCGUGGAUGACGUGGUCUAUGCCGUCGUCGUGACGCGGUCAUUGCCGUCAUCGUGUUCGCCUCUUGCAGAAAAAUCUGCCAGAGGACGCUGGUUGUCCAUCUUAUGGACGAGGUGGCGGCGGUGUGUCGACGAUGAUGUUGGUGAAGACCACGUUGAUGAAGACCUUGACGAUGUAGUGUCGGCAAUGGCAUUGAUGAAGACCACGUUGAUGAAGACCUUGGCGAUGUAGUGUCGGCGAUGGCCGGCGUGUCGAUGAUGAUGCGUCGCUUGGAGGCGUCCCUUUUGACGACGGGGUGUCGAUGCCAUGUCGUGUCGAAGAAGUCAAUUGUUUGGCGCGAUGUAGUCAUACAGCUUGGUGUUAUGUUCGGCUUGAUGUAGAGGUGUUGGCAUGUUUCAAUCCUCUUCCCCAUUACUUAAAAAAAGUGAGCCACCGGUUUAGGUAUAAGAUACUAUCAUUACCGCCUGGACAAUUACGGUGCAGCCGUGCAGGUAAAGAUCGGCGAUAUAGAUGCUUGCCGGUGGCUUGGCGUAGAUGCGCGAGCCCGAACCAGAUGAUGUGCACGGGUCGCCGAUACCUCCUCGCCCUGCCUGCCGUCAGUGCACGACUCACGGUGCACAAACUGUGUAUCGUCGCUGAAGCUUGCAUGCCACUGGCUGGACCAAUGUGUUGCGUACGGGAGUGCAUGGCUAGAACAUAUGCAUGUCCGUAACUUGCACCCGUUGGUGUUGGAGUAGAUGUGCCGCAGGACGGCAGGAGCGGCUGAUGCUUACGGCGCGCAUGCACGAAGUUGCUGCUGCCGAUCAUGCGGGUCAUCGGGUCGACAAAGUUUGCGCCAGCCGAUGCAUGUGCUGGCCGGCUGAGAUCAUGUAGACGCGUGCGGCCGACUGGAUGAUGUAGGGGCUGCCGGAACAGAUCAGGUCUCAGGGAGCCCCGACGGCGGCGGCAGCUGUUGGCUGCCUCCAUGACCCGAAUCGGAUCCGUGGUUAAGAUCGCCGUAGCAUCGUCACCAUCAUACGCGUCGCUUCACCUGAAUUCGCUCGUGCAGCUGUUGCCGUGGAUGCCGUGGCGUCGCCGGGUAUCGCGUACACGCGGGUGUAGUCGAGGAAGCCAAAGUAGAUCGGAUCGGCGCCUGGAUCUCUCAGCUUGAUCGAAGUUGACGGUGAUGGCGCGAUUGGUGUCGAGGGCUUGGCCGCGUGGGCGCGUGGCGCCGCUCCACCAGGCUGCCUAGGCCCUGCCCGCCGAGCGAUUGCAUCGGCCGGCUGCUCCAGCGCCCGGCUAUGCAUGCGACUGCUCCUGAACCGCCAGCGCCCAGGCUUGCUCCGCUGAUCACGGUGUGUCCGCCACAUGCACCGCGCGCUGCCGUUGCCCUUUUGCCGUCGUUACUGCCGCUGACGGCAGCGGGAUCCAACGAGAGUCGUUGGAGUUCUUGAUAGCGCUGCGAUUUUUGAACUGAUUUUCACCGGAUUUAGUGGGUCGAGGGAUUUAUUUGGUGGCUAGAGAAAAUUUUGAUCUAACAGGAGUUUCGAAAUCUGAAUCUAAAGUUUUAAACUAAUCUAAAGAACCGAUCAAAUCUUUUGAUCGAUCGGGUGCCGCGCCCUCGGGGAGAGGAGAUUAAUCUCCCCAAGGGGCGGCGUGCCGCGGAAGUGGUUGGAGGUCCUAGGAUCGGCGUUGUUGGACAAACUACUCUGAUACCAUGUAGAAACUAUAGGAUAGAUGAAUAUUGUUGUUGUGUUGUUUUGAUCUGACCCUCAUAUGGGGUAUAUAUAGAAUACACGAGGGGUAGAGGCUUGGAGUACAAGAUAAGUAAUACAUGGUUUAAACCUAUUCGAUCUACUUAUCUCUAUCUUUAAACCCGAACUAUAUUCUAACAAUUCCCAGAUGCCUAGAAAACCUCCAAUCCUUGGUUUCACUAAAUAUAGCACACUGUUGGGGUAUAAUAUCCACUCCAGGUCACCUUUGGAGCAGUAGUCUCUCAUCACUCCAGGAAUUACAGAUUCGGAUUUGUAACCGCCUUUUUUCGAUUGGUGGAGCAGAUGACAUUUCGGAAAUACAAAAUGUGUUGAUUGAGGACUGUAGAAAUUUGAAGGGACUAUUGCAGCCAGUGAUAAGAGGCAGCUUCUUGAUAUCGGCGAAACACGAUCAGCCUGUGAAAACAAGGUAUGUGUGUUUACACAAAGUCUUUUUCCGAGUGCACUCAUACAUUGAUGCACCCUUCUUGCAUACAAUUAAACGUCUAUGGAGCAACAUUUUUCUGAUAACCGUACCUGGUAACUGAGUUUCCAAAAACAGCCUUGUGCGUACGGCCUUUUGACAAAUUGUUAAGUGUCGUUGCAGCAUGUAGUCUCAUGUGUUUUUUCUACUACUCAGUGCACUUUCUGAUCACUGAUUUUUUUCUCAUGUAGCUCAAAGUCCGUCUGGUGCAUGCCCACAGGGAUUGAUGAAGGGAAUCGAUGGUGCUAGCUAGCUAGUGCGGCAAAUACCUCUCAGGCGCUGUAAUCUUGUUUUUUGGUUGUUGAUUUGUGCUGUACUGCUUUUAUGUACAUACUUGAUUGGUAGGGUGGAUUUUUGAUGCGCCAGGUUUUUUGUCCCAUAGGUUUUUAUACUCGAGCUGAGUAUAACUAGUGGGUUUUCCUGGCGGAUGUCAAAUUCGCAAACCUUUUCUCUGUUUCUGGGUAUUGUUGCCGAGUAUAACCAGUUGUUCCGUUGAUUCUGUUGAAAAUUUAGUCAGAAUAUGCAUGCUAUACAGUUACUACUCUAUGUCAGAAGUGUUGUAUGUAAGUUCGAUCUGUUGUUAAGUCUACCAGUUCGAGUUCUGAAUAACUUGUUGAUGUCAGUUUUACUUCUGAAUAACUUGGUGACUACGAAUGGUGGAAGUCAUUAUAUUAGUUGAUUGAUCAUGAAUCCUUCAUUUCGUGCUGGGUUGACCAGAAGACUGCUAUUUAUUAUGAAUAACUUUGUGACUACAAAAUGAACCCCCUGAGUUAGAUAUAAAUGGAUCACCUAAGUUUUGAAGUAUGAGUACUAGUAGGAAAUAUGGAACUGAAUCCUUCACAGAGCACAUUAAUCUCUGUUACAUUGACCAGGAAAACUCACGCAAAGUAGAAAAAAUGUUCUAUAAGUUAAAUAGGGAAAACAGGUUUGUUCGAACUUAAUUAGCACCUCACUUUUCCGUACUGACCAUCUCAGAUCGAGACACGCUUACCAAAGAUGCGUGAUGAAGUCAACCAAGAUAACUAUGUACUAUUCCGUAAUCGGUAAUACAGUAGUAUCACUAUCAACCUACAUCUACAUGAGGACCAAACUAGCCUCAGUUUGCUGCAACAGCGUUGUCGUGCCCCCAGCUCCUGGUGCAUCAACAGACAAGAGCACUGAUGGGUCAAAGCUAGCUUCGAAGGAGCACUCGACCCAGGAAGCCCAAGACCUGAAACUGACUGACCCACCUGCGUGUGGUGAUUGGGCUCAGCCCGUGUGGUGAUUGGGCUAAGUUACAAUUACCUAACUUUCCUCCUUCACAUGAUUAAGGCUAAAAUGACUUGAAUUAAUUUGCAAAUUACAAAUCUACUUUAUACAUUUACAAAAAUUACAUACAAACAAAAUUAUGAUGCAAUAAAAUUAAUUUUAAAUUUAUUUAUAUCAACAGCAAUUGUGUAUAAUGCCUGCUACAGUAGACAAAUACAGUGUUCGCUAUAGUACCCGUGACUUUUCUUCACUGGUUUACAUUAGUUUGCACUGUAGCUUAGGUGACUUCCCUUCUUCAUGUUAGAGGAUCCACUACCCCAUGUUCAUGUCCUCGUUCAUCAAAUAGAAUUGUAAUUCAGAUAUAAGUUUGUAUCAGCCUGCGCAAACAGAAUCACUGAAAUCUCGUUACACCCAUGGUGGACAUUUAGUAAAAAUAAUCUGCUAUCAGUUGAAAUGAACCUUCCAUCCAUGGUUGCAGUUGGAGUCCAGAGGUGGCCAGGAGCCGUGCGGUGAAGCUGAAGCGUCCAGCUCGCGGCCCCCGCGUUGUUCGCUUCGGGCGACACGGGCGGCGUCUAGGGUUUCCCCACCGCGCCGCCGCUCCUUCCCCUCCCUCCCUCGCCGCCACCUGAGAAAGUCGCCGGAUUCGCUCGCGCGGCCGCCGGUGAUGGUGGCGGCGAGGCCUCGGUUGCUCCUUCCCUCGAGAAUGACCUCGGAUCUAGGGCGGCGGCGCCAUCUCGGCUGGCGUCGUUCGCGGGUGCUCUCUGGCCGGCGGCCUCGACCACGCGGGUGGUGAGACGACGGCGGGUGGCGGCGACGGCGACGGCGCGGAGUUCUUCCUCUCCUCGUCAGAUCUGAGGCUUGGCUCUCUUCCCCUGUCCCCCUCAUCCCCGCCGCUUCCAGCCGGCUGCCCUUCGUGCGCCGGUCUGGUGUUGGUGGGUGACCGGUGGAUUUGUUUAGGGCCGCGGGAAACCGUGGGUCGGCGUGGCCGGCCCGGCAGCAGCGACGUCCUUGACGCCAUGCUUCCUCCUUGGAGGUGCUGCAGAGGCCCUUCCCCUUUCCACCCGUGUUCCUCCUCCCGGGUGAAAGCCUAAAAUCCGGCUUGGAUUGGGCGGCGGCGACGCAAUGUGCGUCGUAUCUUCCUUGGGGGCGCCGCCUGGGGAGGGUUGCGUUCAGGUGAGGGGUUCAAAGUUGGAGCUUUGGGUGGCUUGGGUUGUCCGGUGACGGCGGUGCCAGCGAGGUUCGGCAUGGCUGAAGGCGUCCCCGUUUCCUUCUUGGGUGGUGUUUCUCUGCCAGUGUCGCGUCUAGUCCAGUUCCGGCGGUGCGGUGCCUCGACCCGGCGGUAGGGGAUAGGGUUCCCCUACCCGGCUGGACCUGCGCCUCGCCAGCAGCGGAACCCCGGACCUCUUCUUCAACGGCUGCCUGGCAAUGCUCCUCAGUGGCCUGUUUGGGUCUACUUGAUGACCUUGCUGCAUUUCUUCAGUAGCUGCACCUGGUGGUUUUCCUGCAGUCCUCAGGUGGUCUAGGAUGUGGCGGUGCAGCAAUCGCGGAGUGCUCGAAUGUUCAAGUGGAGGUGUGUUGUGGCCGCUCCAGGUCUCGAAGCUAGCACUUCUCCGGCUCUAGGGUGAGCAUCUCUCAAGUCCGACGGUAUGGCGCCUUGCGAGCCAUGGCGAGAGGGAAGGGUCCCCCUGCAGCGAGAGAGACGGAGGAUGUGUGUAGUCCUUCCCCCUGGAUGUUGGUCGGGCUCACUUCUACACUCUGCUGCAAGCAGAUCCUCGUCGUGCUUGUGUCCCUUUCCUAGUUGUCUGUUUGGCUGUAGUCUUCGGCUAGUACAAGCAUUGAGCUUUUUCCUGUAAUCUUUUGAGCUUGUGCGCUCCGUUGAGUUGUAAGUUUCCUAGAGUGUCCCCUUUAUCGUUUGGCCGAGGCGGUUUGUGUGUGUUUGUAUUUCCUGGCCGGUUGAUGGCUUUGUUAAUUCAAAGUCGGGCUCUUCACGAGCCUUCGUUCUAAAAAAAAAGCUGAAGCGUCCAUCGGUCCAUUUUGCAACCCGCCGGGAGCCGCGAUAGCAGAGUAAUGGAGCAAAGCAGAGCGCAGAGGGCAAUAGCGGAGUACAUACAGCAAAGCAGAGCGUAGAGGACGAUAUGAGAGUGAGAGCGUGGGCGAUCCACGUGCCACCGCCUGUUCCGCGUUAACAUACCUACUCCCUCCUAAAUAUAAGUCGUUGGGGGAGUGUAAACUGAACUCCCCUGAUGACUUAUGUUUCGGAACAGAGGUAAUACACGCCAAACCUACCCUGUUAAGUCCCUAACUCGACGAGCGAGGCAGAUAGGCUGACCUAGAGCGGGUGGGAAUCGUGACCGAGGAGCAGCGGGCUAGCAUCACCGCUUCGUCACCGGAGGAGAAGGAGUGCCCUUGCAUCGCCGCUCGCGUCUUCAUCACCGGAGGCGGAGGAGAGAGCCCGCCCACAUCGUCGCCGCUCGAGGUUCUUGCUUUGCGGCCGCGUAUGGAAGAAUUUAUGGACUCGAUAUUAGACCAUCUCUAGUAGACCUCUUAUAUCGCGAACCCUUGUUUUAUGGGCUGGCGCGGCCUGCGGCCGAAUAGACCCACAAAGUGGAACUAUAAAACAGAAUAUUCUCCGUACAGACCCAGCAAAGCGGAACUGCAAAAUAGAAUAUUUUGUUUGGCCGCAGUCCGCGCUAGCUCGCAAACCGAAAAAAAUCUAAUUAGACAAUUUGACCGCAAUUCUGAUGAUUGGCUUCAAAUUCAAACAAUCAAACAUAGUUUGUGCAAAAAUUAAGCAUAGUUUUCAAUCAUAACGCAAAAGAACCUCAUGCAAAAGCCACCUCCAUCACCAUCUUCAUCUUCAUCAUCGCCAUCGCUCUCCACCACCGCCACCGAAGACACCACCACCUCCAUGACCAUCAUCACUCUCCACCACUGCCACCGAUUCCCCCACCGGCACCGAAGCCAUCACCCGUCGCCGCCAGCAUCCUUCUCUUCAAGAUAUCUCUCCUUGCCAUAUCAUGUCAUUCUUUGGUGAGGUCGUCCAUGUCACUGCGGUUCAUAGUCAUGAUCUUGUUCUCCUCGGCAAGAAGCUUGGCUAAGGCCUUGUUCUCCUCGGCAAGGGCUUUUCUCUCCUCAAUGACAGCCUUGCGCAACCCCUCUUCCUUGAGUAAUUGCCACUUUUCUUGCUUCUCUUGCGCCUUCCUCUCGGCCAACUCCUUCUUUUCCUCCAAUGUCUUGCCCAUCAUCAUCUCAUUUGAUUGCACCAUGGCAUCUAUCUUGUCACGCAAGCUUGAUGCCUCCGCUUCCGUCUUGAUCUUGUCCUUGGCCUUCUUGUUUCCAUUGGGCUUGUUCUUGUUUCUUGGGCCAUCAUCAUCAUCAUCCAUCUUGGUGAAUGCACCUCUCUUCGAUGGGGAUUCUUUCUCAAUCAACUUCCACUCCUCGCUAUUUUGAAGAAAUUUCCAACAAUGCUCUAGUUGAAAUGACUUGCCAACGGAAGCUUCCAUGUCCUUGUACCUUUCUUGCACAAUUUUCUCCUACAAAAUGAAAACAAUGUCAAAUUAUGCAGCGAUUCACACGGCUACAAAUGAUUUGCACAACCUGGGACGUGGAAACAAACUCACAUAAUUGGAUUCAAUGGUAUCACUUGGAGGUGCAUUGCGGACUUGCUCCAAGCAAGCAGCCCAACAGCUACAAAUCGGCUUGAUCACGUCCCAACGACCUUGGAGUGACCUAAAGGUGCAUGGUGUCCUGUUGGAAUACUUUGCCAUAAUGCAGAAGAACUGAUCCUCUAUCCUUUGCCAAUACCACUUGGCGGUUUGGUCAGUGUCGGUGCACGCAUCAAGAUUCCCAAGCCUUGAUCAAGAUUUGAUCUUCCAUUUGUGUGGAGUUCUUCGAUUUUGCACGCACUUUUUGCUUGCAAUGGGUCGAACACCCCCUCCUCAACCUCCUUCACCUCAUGCUCUUCCUCACCGUGACCAUGCACACCACCACCCAUCUCAUUGUAACCGUAAUCACCGAUCAGGGCCUGUUCGGUGUCGACGGUGUUGUCAUCCAACAACGCACAAACUCGACAGUCGCAUCAUGCAAACCGACGCUACAAUUUCGCUCAACAAGUCACGAACAAGCGUCAAUGGAGAAACGUGAAACAACUAGAAGAAAUCAAAGUAUCAUACCUUGAGCCCAUUUUGUCGAACACCUUUGGGGUGGCGGUAGCAGCGUCGUCGGCGGGCAUCCUCGGGGUAGCUCUUGUCGGGGGGAAUCGGGGGAGGUGUUGGUGGGGUAAAUCUUGUGGUGGCCUUCUCGCGUUUCACACCUGAAACCUUGCCUUUCUUCACCGGCGCGGGCCAGACCGGAUUCGCAGCGGUGGCAGCGGCGGGCACGCGUGCCUUCCCGGCGGGGCCUGCGGGGUGGAGUCUUGAACAAUGAUGUGCGCGACAUGGCUGGCGACGAGAUCUGUCGGAGGGGUUGACGCGUGGAUGACAUCCACGGUGAGGCCGACGGCUGGGAGGCUUCCAUGGCAGCGAUACAAAGCCGGGGAAGGUGGUACGGAGCGGGCAGAGGGAAGGGGNNNNNNNNNNAUACAUAUGGCUCAAUCAACUCCUACACAUGCUAGUGGGUUUCAUCUAGUUACUGUGGCAAUGACAGGUCAUGCAGAGGAAAUGGGUUCAACUACCGUAGCACACAGCAGUUUGAAUCGCGUUGUCUUAAUGCAGUAAAAGAGAGCAGGAGCGAGAACAUGGGAUUGUAUCGAUAUGAUCAAAUGGUUGGUUGCUUGCCUGAUGGUUCGAUGCACGGAUACGGUUCUUCGUUAGGGUAAUCACGGUACUCCUCGGGGACAGAACCUGUCGCAAAGGGCAUCGAUACACAAGCAUCACCAAACAAUGUGCAACAAUAUGAUGCAUGCAUGAAACAUGGCAAUAUGAGUGUAUUGGGCUAAUGCAACUAAAGUCAGAAGGGUUUGAACAAAUUUGAAUCAAAGAUUCAAAUUUCAAAUUCCAAUAUGGCCUUUUAAAGUGCUUUUCCUUGUUCUGCUUGAAUCAUCAAUUUAACUUGUUUGAUCAUGCAUGAAAAUAGUACAGAUGGAUAGAUUGGAUUUUUCUGAUCAUUUUUCAUAUAUAAUUUGUCCAAUUUGGAGUUACAGAAUAAAAGUUAUGAAUUUUUGAAGUUUAAAUAAUAUUCUGGAAUUUCCUGAUUUAAUUUAAAUCCAGAAAAUUAAUUACUGCGUCAGCCUGACGUCAGUGUGACGUCAGCAGGUCAACUGCGGCUGGCUGAAGUCAAACCUGACGGGUGGGGGCCACACGUCAGUGACAGGGGGGGUUAAACAGAUUUAAAUUAAUUCUAAUUACUAAUUAGUGGCGCUGGGGCCCACUGUCAGUGUCAGGGGGGUUGACUAAUAGUAGUUAGCGCUAACCUAACCAUCUGGCCGACAGGGCCCACGCGUCAGCGACCCUGGGGGGUCAAACCCCAGGUCGGUCAAAUCAAACCCCACCGGCGACAUGACGCCGGCGAGAUCCGAGACGGCGGCGAGAGUGCUUUUUGCCAUUCCGGCGACCAAAUGGACGGCGGAAGGCAUCUACGUGUUGCUGAGGUUGAGCCGCGUCUAUUGGUGGUGGUGGUUGGGCUCGGGGUGGCCGGAGUUGACGGCGGCGAGCUCGGCUGCGGCGGCCGGAGUUCGGGUGCGGUCGGGAUCAGUGUUGCAGGGGGUUUGGGGAGGCGUUGGUGCGUUCUACGUGCUCCUGGUGAUGUGUGGAGCACGAUGGUGGACAUUUAGUAAAAAUAAUCUGCUAUCAGUUGAAAUGAACCUUCCAUCCAUGGUUGCAGUUGGAGUCCAGAGGUGGCCAGGAGCCGUGCGGUGAAGCUGAAGCGUCCAGCUCGCGGCCCCCGCGUCGUUCGCUUCGGGCGACACGGGCGGCGUCUAGGGUUUCCCCACCGCGCCGCCGCUCCUUCCCCUCCCUCCCUCGCCGCCACCUGAGAAAGUCGCCGGAUUCGCUCGCGCGGCCGCCGGUGAUGGUGGCGGCGAGGCCUCGGUUGCUCCUUCCCUCGAGAAUGACCUCGGAUCUAGGGCGGCGGCGCCAUCUCGGCUGGCGUCGUUCGCGGGUGCUCUCUGGCCGGCGGCCUCGACCACGCGGGUGGUGAGACGACGGCGGGUGGCGGCGACGGCGACGGCGCGGAGUUCUUCCUCUCCUCGUCAGAUCUGAGGCUUGGCUCUCUUCCCCUGUCCCCCUCAUCCCCGCCGCUUCCAGCCGGCUGCCCUUCGUGCGCCGGUCUGGUGUUGGUGGGUGACCGGUGGAUUUGUUUAGGGCCGCGGGAAACCGUGGGUCGGCGUGGCCGGCCCGGCAGCAGCGACGUCCUUGACGCCAUGCUUCCUCCUUGGAGGUGCUGCAGAGGCCCUUCCCCUUUCCACCCGUGUUCCUCCUCCCGGGUGAAAGCCUAAAAUCCGGCUUGGAUUGGGCGGCGGCGACGCAAUGUGCGUCGUAUCUUCCUUGGGGGCGCCGCCUGGGGAGGGUUGCGUUCAGGUGAGGGGUUCAAAGUUGGAGCUUUGGGUGGCUUGGGUUGUCCGGUGACGGCGGUGCCAGCGAGGUUCGGCAUGGCUGAAGGCGUCCCCGUUUCCUUCUUGGGUGGUGUUUCUCUGCCAGUGUCGCGUCUAGUCCAGUUCCGGCGGUGCGGUGCCUCGACCCGGCGGUAGGGGAUAGGGUUCCCCUACCCGGCUGGACCUGCGCCUCGCCAGCAGCGGAACCCCGGACCUCUUCUUCAACGGCUGCCUGGCAAUGCUCCUCAGUGGCCUGUUUGGGUCUACUUGAUGACCUUGCUGCAUUUCUUCAGUAGCUGCACCUGGUGGUUUUCCUGCAGUCCUCAGGUGGUCUAGGAUGUGGCNNNNNNNNNNNNNNNNNNNNNNNNNNNNNNNNNNNNNNNNNNNNNNNNNNNNNNNNNNNNNNNNNNNNNNNNNNNNNNNNNNNNNNNNNNNNNNNNNNNNNNNNNNNNNNNNNNNNNNNNNNNNNNNNNNNNNNNNNNNNNNNNNNNNNNNNNNNNNNNNNNNNNNNNNNNNNNNNNNNNNNNNNNNNNNNNNNNNNNNNNNNNNNNNNNNNNNNNNNNNNNNNNNNNNNNNNNNNNNNNNNNNNNNNNNNNNNNNNNNNNNNNNNNNNNNNNNNNNNNNNNNNNNNNNNNNNNNNNNNNNNNNNNNNNNNNNNNNNNNNNNNNNNNNNNNNNNNNNNNNNNNNNNNNNNNNNNNNNNNNNNNNNNNAGCGGGAACUGCCGCACGAAAAUGUCCCUCCUGCCAAAUAUCGUUGCCGAUAGGGGUCAAGCUCGGGUCGGCCUCCCACCCCGUGUAUCUAAAGGUUCAGGGUGAAGAUUUGCCGCGCCCCGCAAUUUUUUUACAGGCUGUAGUUCGAUACUGUGUCUGUUUACAGAUCGACGCGAUAUAAGGGGUCUAAUAAAGAUGCUCUUACUAUGUUUAGAGACGGUAUACGAGCUUCUAAUUUCCUCCUUCCUACACGCGGCCGAUUGAGGCAUAGUAGCCAAUAGAGAAAGGGAAAUUGAAGGAGCUUCUUAUUUCUUCCCUUUUUGGACCAUAGUGCUAAAUUUCAGAAUCUAUUAUCACAACCCUUGCGCGCUCAUGAUUCAUUCCUAGCUGUGCUUUUGUACCACAUCAACCAAAAAAACUGUGCUUUUGUAAUUUCUGCGGUGGCCAUCGUGUUGUCUCCAUCUUCCAGCAUACCACCUUGUCCUGCUCCAUCCGCUGGUCGUCACAUGGUCACCUACGCAUAUGUCGGUGUCUUCUGACCCAACGUGUGUUACAGAGGCGGACCAUAAAAAAAAAUUUAAGGUGGGGCGAAGUCUCAUUAAGAUUUUUUUUUGAUGCGAAUCAAAGGAGUCAAUACACACUAACAAUGCACACUACAAAUGAAUAACCAAAUAUAAUGAAAAUGUAGACAUGUUUCAAUAGGAAAACAACCUAAAACAUACCGAUAAUGAAGCGUAUAAUGGCGUCUAGAAGACCCAGACAAUGGCAAUGCUCUACCCUCCUUUUGAAAAUCUUCCUAAUUUUAGCAAGAGCAAUACUUUUGAAGAUCUAUUACUCAAUGUACACAUCUUCCCUAAUUUUACAAAACGGACAUGAUAAAUAUACCUCUUCCUCCUCUUUCCUCUGCAUUUGCUGAUCCUUUCCUCUUCUUUUCCAUCUUAUGAAGAGAAGUCACAGAACUGCGCCGGUUGGGCAUCUUAUUAGCUUGUAUGUAUAAUCAUCUAAAAACAAAAACUUGUGCGUACACUAGCAUGAAUGAAAAAUAUAAUUAUAUAAACAAAGUGGCAGUGGCUGCAAAUAGUUCAGAGCAGAGGAGUGGUUCAGAGUUUCGGACCCUAGGAGAUUACCAGGAAAAUCCCCAACAGUCGUNNNNNNNNNNNNNNNNNNNNNNNNNNNNNNNNNNNNNNNNNNNNNNNNNNNNNNNNNNNNNNNNNNNNNNNNNNNNNNNNNNNNNNNNNNNNNNNNNNNNNNNNNNNNNNNNNNNNNNNNNNNNNNNNNNNNNNNNNNNNNNNNNNNNNNNNNNNNNNNNNNNNNNNNNNNNNNNNNNNNNNNNNNNNNNNNNNNNNNNNNNNNNNNNNNNNNNNNNNNNNNNNNNNNNNNNNNNNNNNUGUUAAGUCCCUAACUCGACGAGCGAGGCAGAUAGGCUGACCUAGAGCGGGUGGGAAUCGUGACCGAGGAGCAGCGGGCUAGCAUCACCGCUUCGUCACCGGAGGAGAAGGAGUGCCCUUGCAUCGCCGCUCGCGUCUUCAUCACCGGAGGCGGAGGAGAGAGCCCGCCCACAUCGUCGCCGCUCGAGGUUCUUGCUUUGCGGCCGCGUAUGGAAGAAUUUAUGGACUCGAUAUUAGACCAUCUCUAGUAGACCUCUUAUAUCGCGAACCCUUGUUUUAUGGGCUGGCGCGGCCUGCGGCCGAAUAGACCCACAAAGUGGAACUAUAAAACAGAAUAUUCUCCGUACAGACCCAGCAAAGCGGAACUGCAAAAUAGAAUAUUUUGUUUGGCCGCAGUCCGCGCUAGCUCGCAAACCGAAAAAAAUCUAAUUAGACAAUUUGACCGCAAUUCUGAUGAUUGGCUUCAAAUUCAAACAAUCAAACAUAGUUUGUGCAAAAAUUAAGCAUAGUUUUCAAUCAUAACGCAAAAGAACCUCAUGCAAAAGCCACCUCCAUCACCAUCUUCAUCUUCAUCAUCGCCAUCGCUCUCCACCACCGCCACCGAAGACACCACCACCUCCAUGACCAUCAUCACUCUCCACCACUGCCACCGAUUCCCCCACCGGCACCGAAGCCAUCACCCGUCGCCGCCAGCAUCCUUCUCUUCAAGAUAUCUCUCCUUGCCAUAUCAUGUCAUUCUUUGGUGAGGUCGUCCAUGUCACUGCGGUUCAUAGUCAUGAUCUUGUUCUCCUCGGCAAGAAGCUUGGCUAAGGCCUUGUUCUCCUCGGCAAGGGCUUUUCUCUCCUCAAUGACAGCCUUGCGCAACCCCUCUUCCUUGAGUAAUUGCCACUUUUCUUGCUUCUCUUGCGCCUUCCUCUCGGCCAACUCCUUCUUUUCCUCCAAUGUCUUGCCCAUCAUCAUCUCAUUUGAUUGCACCAUGGCAUCUAUCUUGUCACGCAAGCUUGAUGCCUCCGCUUCCGUCUUGAUCUUGUCCUUGGCCUUCUUGUUUCCAUUGGGCUUGUUCUUGUUUCUUGGGCCAUCAUCAUCAUCAUCCAUCUUGGUGAAUGCACCUCUCUUCGAUGGGGAUUCUUUCUCAAUCAACUUCCACUCCUCGCUAUUUUGAAGAAAUUUCCAACAAUGCUCUAGUUGAAAUGACUUGCCAACGGAAGCUUCCAUGUCCUUGUACCUUUCUUGCACAAUUUUCUCCUACAAAAUGAAAACAAUGUCAAAUUAUGCAGCGAUUCACACGGCUACAAAUGAUUUGCACAACCUGGGACGUGGAAACAAACUCACAUAAUUGGAUUCAAUGGUAUCACUUGGAGGUGCAUUGCGGACUUGCUCCAAGCAAGCAGCCCAACAGCUACAAAUCGGCUUGAUCACGUCCCAACGACCUUGGAGUGACCUAAAGGUGCAUGGUGUCCUGUUGGAAUACUUUGCCAUAAUGCAGAAGAACUGAUCCUCUAUCCUUUGCCAAUACCACUUGGCGGUUUGGUCAGUGUCGGUGCACGCAUCAAGAUUCCCAAGCCUUGAUCAAGAUUUGAUCUUCCAUUUGUGUGGAGUUCUUCGAUUUUGCACGCACUUUUUGCUUGCAAUGGGUCGAACACCCCCUCCUCAACCUCCUUCACCUCAUGCUCUUCCUCACCGUGACCAUGCACACCACCACCCAUCUCAUUGUAACCGUAAUCACCGAUCAGGGCCUGUUCGGUGUCGACGGUGUUGUCAUCCAACAACGCACAAACUCGACAGUCGCAUCAUGCAAACCGACGCUACAAUUUCGCUCAACAAGUCACGAACAAGCGUCAAUGGAGAAACGUGAAACAACUAGAAGAAAUCAAAGUAUCAUACCUUGAGCCCAUUUUGUCGAACACCUUUGGGGUGGCGGUAGCAGCGUCGUCGGCGGGCAUCCUCGGGGUAGCUCUUGUCGGGGGGAAUCGGGGGAGGUGUUGGUGGGGUAAAUCUUGUGGUGGCCUUCUCGCGUUUCACACCUGAAACCUUGCCUUUCUUCACCGGCGCGGGCCAGACCGGAUUCGCAGCGGUGGCAGCGGCGGGCACGCGUGCCUUCCCGGCGGGGCCUGCGGGGUGGAGUCUUGAACAAUGAUGUGCGCGACAUGGCUGGCGACGAGAUCUGUCGGAGGGGUUGACGCGUGGAUGACAUCCACGGUGAGGCCGACGGCUGGGAGGCUUCCAUGGCAGCGAUACAAAGCCGGGGAAGGUGGUACGGAGCGGGCAGAGGGAAGGGGNNNNNNNNNNNNNNNNNNNNNNNNNNNNNNNNNNNNNNNNNNNNNNNNNNNNNNNNNNNNNNNNNNNNNNNNNNNNNNNNNNNNNNNNNNNNNNNNNNNNNNNNNNNNNNNNNNNNNNNNNNNNNNNNNNNNNNNNNNNNNNNNNNNNNNNNNNNNNNNNNNNNNNNNNNNNNNNNNNNNNNNNNNNNNNNNNNNNNNNNNNNNNNNNNNNNNNNNNNNNNNNNNNNNNNNNNNNNNNNNNNNNNNNNNNNNNNNNNNNNNNNNNNNNNNNNNNNNNNNNNNNNNNNNNNNNNNNNNNNNNNNNNNNNNNNNNNNNNNNNNNNNNNNNNNNNNNNNNNNNNNNNNNNNNNNNNNNNNNNNNNNNNNNNNNNNNNNNNNNNNNNNNNNNNNNNNNNNNNNNNNNNNNNNNNNNNNNNGUUCGCUUCGGGCGACACGGGCGGCGUCUAGGGUUUCCCCACCGCGCCGCCGCUCCUUCCCCUCCCUCCCUCGCCGCCACCUGAGAAAGUCGCCGGAUUCGCUCGCGCGGCCGCCGGUGAUGGUGGCGGCGAGGCCUCGGUUGCUCCUUCCCUCGAGAAUGACCUCGGAUCUAGGGCGGCGGCGCCAUCUCGGCUGGCGUCGUUCGCGGGUGCUCUCUGGCCGGCGGCCUCGACCACGCGGGUGGUGAGACGACGGCGGGUGGCGGCGACGGCGACGGCGCGGAGUUCUUCCUCUCCUCGUCAGAUCUGAGGCUUGGCUCUCUUCCCCUGUCCCCCUCAUCCCCGCCGCUUCCAGCCGGCUGCCCUUCGUGCGCCGGUCUGGUGUUGGUGGGUGACCGGUGGAUUUGUUUAGGGCCGCGGGAAACCGUGGGUCGGCGUGGCCGGCCCGGCAGCAGCGACGUCCUUGACGCCAUGCUUCCUCCUUGGAGGUGCUGCAGAGGCCCUUCCCCUUUCCACCCGUGUUCCUCCUCCCGGGUGAAAGCCUAAAAUCCGGCUUGGAUUGGGCGGCGGCGACGCAAUGUGCGUCGUAUCUUCCUUGGGGGCGCCGCCUGGGGAGGGUUGCGUUCAGGUGAGGGGUUCAAAGUUGGAGCUUUGGGUGGCUUGGGUUGUCCGGUGACGGCGGUGCCAGCGAGGUUCGGCAUGGCUGAAGGCGUCCCCGUUUCCUUCUUGGGUGGUGUUUCUCUGCCAGUGUCGCGUCUAGUCCAGUUCCGGCGGUGCGGUGCCUCGACCCGGCGGUAGGGGAUAGGGUUCCCCUACCCGGCUGGACCUGCGCCUCGCCAGCAGCGGAACCCCGGACCUCUUCUUCAACGGCUGCCUGGCAAUGCUCCUCAGUGGCCUGUUUGGGUCUACUUGAUGACCUUGCUGCAUUUCUUCAGUAGCUGCACCUGGUGGUUUUCCUGCAGUCCUCAGGUGGUCUAGGAUGUGGCAGUGCAGCAAUCGCGGAGUGCUCGAAUGUUCAAGUGGAGGUGUGUUGUGGCCGCUCCAGGUCUCGAAGCUAGCACUUCUCCGGCUCUAGGGUGAGCAUCUCUCAAGUCCGACGGUAUGGCGCCUUGCGAGCCAUGGCGAGAGGGAAGGGUCCCCCUGCGGCGAGAGAGACGAAGGAUGUGUGUAGUCCUUCCCCCUGGAUGUUGGUCGGGCUCACUUCUACACUCUGCUGCAAGCAGAUCCUCGUCGUGCUUGUGUCCCUUUCCUAGUUGUCUGUUUGGCUGUAGUCUUCGGCUAGUACAAGCAUUGAGCUUUUUCCUGUAAUCUUUUGAGCUUGUGCGCUCCGUUGAGUUGUAAGUUUCCUAGAGUGUCCCCUUUAUCGUUUGGCCGAGGCGGUUUGUGUGUGUUUGUAUUUCCUGGCCGGUUGAUGGCUUUGUUAAUUCAAAGUCGGGCUCUUCACGAGCCUUCGUUCUAAAAAAAAAGCUGAAGCGUCCAUCGGUCCAUUUUGCAACCCGCCGGGAGCCGCGAUAGCAGAGUAAUGGAGCAAAGCAGAGCGCAGAGGGCAAUAGCGGAGUACAUACAGCAAAGCAGAGCGUAGAGGACGAUAUGAGAGUGAGAGCGUGGGCGAUCCACGUGCCACCGCCUGUUCCGCGUUAACAUACCUACUCCCUCCUAAAUAUAAGUCGUUGGGGGAGUGUAAACUGAACUCCCCUGAUGACUUAUGUUUCGGAACAGAGGUAAUACACGCCAAACCUACCUUGUUAAGUCCCUAACUCGACGAGCGAGGCAGAUAGGCUGACCUAGAGCGGGUGGGAAUCGUGACCGAGGAGCAGCGGGCUAGCAUCACCGCUUCGUCACCGGAGGAGAAGGAGUGCCCUUGCAUCGCCGCUCGCGUCUUCAUCACCGGAGGCGGAGGAGAGAGCCCGCCCACAUCGUCGCCGCUCGAGGUUCUUGCUUUGCGGCCGCGUAUGGAAGAAUUUAUGGACUCGAUAUUAGACCAUCUCUAGUAGACCUCUUAUAUCGCGAACCCUUGUUUUAUGGGCUGGCGCGGCCUGCGGCCGAAUAGACCCACAAAGUGGAACUAUAAAACAGAAUAUUCUCCGUACAGACCCAGCAAAGCGGAACUGCAAAAUAGAAUAUUUUGUUUGGCCGCAGUCCGCGCUAGCUCGCAAACCGAAAAAAAUCUAAUUAGACAAUUUGACCGCAAUUCUGAUGAUUGGCUUCAAAUUCAAACAAUCAAACAUAGUUUGUGCAAAAAUUAAGCAUAGUUUUCAAUCAUAACGCAAAAGAACCUCAUGCAAAAGCCACCUCCAUCACCAUCUUCAUCUUCAUCAUCGCCAUCGCUCUCCACCACCGCCACCGAAGACACCACCACCUCCAUGACCAUCAUCACUCUCCACCACUGCCACCGAUUCCCCCACCGGCACCGAAGCCAUCACCCGUCGCCGCCAGCAUCCUUCUCUUCAAGAUAUCUCUCCUUGCCAUAUCAUGUCAUUCUUUGGUGAGGUCGUCCAUGUCACUGCGGUUCAUAGUCAUGAUCUUGUUCUCCUCGGCAAGAAGCUUGGCUAAGGCCUUGUUCUCCUCGGCAAGGGCUUUUCUCUCCUCAAUGACAGCCUUGCGCAACCCCUCUUCCUUGAGUAAUUGCCACUUUUCUUGCUUCUCUUGCGCCUUCCUCUCGGCCAACUCCUUCUUUUCCUCCAAUGUCUUGCCCAUCAUCAUCUCAUUUGAUUGCACCAUGGCAUCUAUCUUGUCACGCAAGCUUGAUGCCUCCGCUUCCGUCUUGAUCUUGUCCUUGGCCUUCUUGUUUCCAUUGGGCUUGUUCUUGUUUCUUGGGCCAUCAUCAUCAUCAUCCAUCUUGGUGAAUGCACCUCUCUUCGAUGGGGAUUCUUUCUCAAUCAACUUCCACUCCUCGCUAUUUUGAAGAAAUUUCCAACAAUGCUCUAGUUGAAAUGACUUGCCAACGGAAGCUUCCAUGUCCUUGUACCUUUCUUGCACAAUUUUCUCCUACAAAAUGAAAACAAUGUCAAAUUAUGCAGCGAUUCACACGGCUACAAAUGAUUUGCACAACCUGGGACGUGGAAACAAACUCACAUAAUUGGAUUCAAUGGUAUCACUUGGAGGUGCAUUGCGGACUUGCUCCAAGCAAGCAGCCCAACAGCUACAAAUCGGCUUGAUCACGUCCCAACGACCUUGGAGUGACCUAAAGGUGCAUGGUGUCCUGUUGGAAUACUUUGCCAUAAUGCAGAAGAACUGAUCCUCUAUCCUUUGCCAAUACCACUUGGCGGUUUGGUCAGUGUCGGUGCACGCAUCAAGAUUCCCAAGCCUUGAUCAAGAUUUGAUCUUCCAUUUGUGUGGAGUUCUUCGAUUUUGCACGCACUUUUUGCUUGCAAUGGGUCGAACACCCCCUCCUCAACCUCCUUCACCUCAUGCUCUUCCUCACCGUGACCAUGCACACCACCACCCAUCUCAUUGUAACCGUAAUCACCGAUCAGGGCCUGUUCGGUGUCGACGGUGUUGUCAUCCAACAACGCACAAACUCGACAGUCGCAUCAUGCAAACCGACGCUACAAUUUCGCUCAACAAGUCACGAACAAGCGUCAAUGGAGAAACGUGAAACAACUAGAAGAAAUCAAAGUAUCAUACCUUGAGCCCAUUUUGUCGAACACCUUUGGGGUGGCGGUAGCAGCGUCGUCGGCGGGCAUCCUCGGGGUAGCUCUUGUCGGGGGGAAUCGGGGGAGGUGUUGGUGGGGUAAAUCUUGUGGUGGCCUUCUCGCGUUUCACACCUGAAACCUUGCCUUUCUUCACCGGCGCGGGCCAGACCGGAUUCGCAGCGGUGGCAGCGGCGGGCACGCGUGCCUUCCCGGCGGGGCCUGCGGGGUGGAGUCUUGAACAAUGAUGUGCGCGACAUGGCUGGCGACGAGAUCUGUCGGAGGGGUUGACGCGUGGAUGACAUCCACGGUGAGGCCGACGGCUGGGAGGCUUCCAUGGCAGCGAUACAAAGCCGGGGAAGGUGGUACGGAGCGGGCAGAGGGAAGGGGNNNNNNNNNNNNNNNNNNNNNNNNNNNNNNNNNNNNNNNNNNNNNNNNNNNNNNNNNNNNNNNNNNNNNNNNNNNNNNNNNNNNNNNNNNNNNNNNNNNNCCAUAUGAUAAAGAGCCCGGGCUGACAUGACUAGUCGUAAACCCAAAGUGGCACAGACUUACAGGGACAGGCAUCCAUGACCCAGCUUCGAACGUGUCGGUCAUCAGCAAGUGGGUCCGGGCUGUAGCACUGGGCUAGCAGGACUCCGGUAAACCGGGCUGUAGCGGGCUAACAGGACUCCGGUACUCAAAGCGUGACAUUUCCCCGAAGGGACAGACACAGGAACGAAGAAGGACACAUGCCGGCCAGCCUAAGUGUUCCAGAGCAGUAGCAAGCUACCAUGGCUCAGCGGUAACACUAGGAGACAUUUCCCGGUAAGAGAGCCUACUAAAGAUAAACAACUAGAUAGUCAGAUCCCACACAUACCAAGCAUUUCAAUCAUACACACAAUAUGCUCGAUAUGUGCAAAUACAACGAAGCAUCACAACAUGACUCUACGACACAAGUACUUUAUUUAAGGCUCAGGGAGCCAUACAUAUCAUACACAAAGGUACGGGUCUCACGACCCAACAUACAAGUCAUACAGUCAUACAAGCCAACAGCGGAAGUACUUUGUCUGGGUACAGACAACUAGUAAAAUAAAAGAGGCUUGGAAGCCUAACUAUACUACGUGGUCCCUCACAAGCUCAGGGUCACCACCUGGGUCCUUAGCCUACUCGUUGAUGUCAACGUCUACAUAGAACCCAUCAGAAGGGGUUGCAGCGUCUUCUGUAAAAAUGUAGAUUAUAGCAACAUGAGUACAAAAGUACUCAGCAAGACUUACAUCAGAUCCUACAUACAUGCAUAGUAUCAAGAAGGGUUGGUGGAGUUAUUGCAGCAAGCUAGCUUUGACUCUUGGCUAGACUAUCCUACGAUACUCCAACUUAAAAUGUUUUGCGCACACGAGUCCACUUCUCACCACUUCAAUACACUACCGAGGAUCCACCUCCGUCUUCCUACGGAUGAGCCAUCCUCGGUACUCACACUUAUCUUGAGGCUUUUAAUAGUUUCCAUUUACUUGUCUAUGAACUGUAUAGGCAACCAAGUAGUCCUUUACCGCGGACGCGGCUAUUCGAAUAGAUCAUGUUAACCCUGCAGGGGUGUACUUCGUCAUACAUGUUUCCACCACUUAGCGUCUGCACACGACAUGUGCUCGGCAGACUUCAAGCGAAAGCCGACGUGGGUGUAGACCACGACCUACCUAAACACUUAAGCCUCUAGUCCAGGUUUAUCGCCUAUUCAGGUUCCAUCCGCAGGGAGUCCGGCCGAGGUUUCCCAUACGGCCCCGAACGAUGUGAACAGGGUUCCCGAGAUACCUAACGGGUAUUCGGUACACCCGGCCACGUACCUACCGCAUCAUAGCCCACCCCUACGGUCAGCGCUGUCCACGGCCUCCAGUAGGCUACAAACACCAGAAACUACUUGCAACUCCUGGACAGAGAGCUAGGGUGAAUAAGAAGUCGAGCGGGGUCAUAUUUCAGGGCCCAAUGUAUGGUAGUAGCUGAUUCUUAAAUCACACAUACAGAUCUCAGUGCUUAAGGUCGGCUUCAAUGAAACAACCCAUCAUGUACUCCUACAUGGCCUCUCAUCGAUACCUUUACCAAAUCGUGUUCACCACACCACUCUCAUUACCGACAUAAUCAUUUCACUCUAGCCCAUCACCCAGAUGAACCAGACCUGACACGACUCUAAGCAUAGCAGACAUAGCAAGGUAGGAACAACACAUACAUAUGGCUCAAUCAACUCCUACACAUGCUAGUGGGUUUCAUCUAGUUACUGUGGCAAUGACAGGUCAUGCAGAGGAAAUGGGUUCAACUACCGUAGCACACAGCAGUUUGAAUCGCGUUGUCUUAAUGCAGUAAAAGAGAGCAGGAGCGAGAACAUGGGAUUGUAUCGAUAUGAUCAAAUGGUUGGUUGCUUGCCUGAUGGUUCGAUGCACGGAUACGGUUCUUCGUUAGGGUAAUCACGGUACUCCUCGGGGACAGAACCUGUCGCAAAGGGCAUCGAUACACAAGCAUCACCAAACAAUGUGCAACAAUAUGAUGCAUGCAUGAAACAUGGCAAUAUGAGUGUAUUGGGCUAAUGCAACUAAAGUCAGAAGGGUUUGAACAAAUUUGAAUCAAAGAUUCAAAUUUCAAAUUCCAAUAUGGCCUUUUAAAGUGCUUUUCCUUGUUCUGCUUGAAUCAUCAAUUUAACUUGUUUGAUCAUGCAUGAAAAUAGUACAGAUGGAUAGAUUGGAUUUUUCUGAUCAUUUUUCAUAUAUAAUUUGUCCAAUUUGGAGUUACAGAAUAAAAGUUAUGAAUUUUUGAAGUUUAAAUAAUAUUCUGGAAUUUCCUGAUUUAAUUUAAAUCCAGAAAAUUAAUUACUGCGUCAGCCUGACGUCAGUGUGACGUCAGCAGGUCAACUGCGGCUGGCUGAAGUCAAACCUGACGGGUGGGGGCCACACGUCAGUGACAGGGGGGGUUAAACAGAUUUAAAUUAAUUCUAAUUACUAAUUAGUGGCGCUGGGGCCCACUGUCAGUGUCAGGGGGGGUUGACUAAUAGUAGUUAGCGCUAACCUAACCAUCUGGCCGACAGGGCCCACGCGUCAGCGACCCUGGGGGGUCAAACCCCAGGUCGGUCAAAUCAAACCCCACCGGCGACAUGACGCCGGCGAGAUCCGAGACGGCGGCGAGAGUGCUUUUUGCCAUUCCGGCGACCAAAUGGACGGCGGAAGGCAUCUACGUGUUGCUGAGGUUGAGCCGUGUCUAUUGGUGGUGGUGGUUGGGCUCGGGGUGGCCGGAGUUGACGGCGGCGAGCUCGGCUGCGGCGGCCGGAGUUCGGGUGCGGUCGGGAUCAGUGUUGCAGGGGGUUUGGGGAGGCGUUGGUGCCUUCUACGUGCUCCUGGUGAUGUGUGGAGCACGAUGGUGUGCUCGGUUGGGCGCUACGGCGACCGUGGCCACGACGGCGACAUCGCCGGUGGCGUGGAGCUCUCGGUCGAGGUGGAGCUAGGGCCUAGAGGUCGGGAGAGACCAGGGAAGAAGGGGGAAACGCUCCGGGGGCUCACCGCGGUUGCAGUGGGCGUCGAAGCGGGCUCGGGGACGCGCCGGAGACGACGAAUUUGACGGCGACGGUGGUCGGAGUCCGAAGAGGGGAACGGCGACGUGGCGGCGAUGCAGGGCUUCCGGAGACCCGUGGAGCGGUGGGGAGGAAGAGGGAGUUGUGGCGGAGCUUCUGAGCUAGUCGGGGGAGCGAGGGGUGGUCGGAGACGAUUGCUACGGCGAACGGUGGCGACGGUGGUGUUCGGCCGUGUGAGAGAGAGAGCGAGGGAGAGGAAGGAGAGAGCCGGGGAGAGUGAGAGAGAGCAGGGGGGAUCGGGACGGGCUGCGGGCGUCGUCCACGCGGCCAGGAGGGCGUCGGCAAGCAGGAGGUGGCCGCGCGGCCGUGCGCGCGCGAGCACGCAGCAGCUUCGGGGCGAGGGGAGGAAGACGACGGGGAGCUACAGUGCUGGGCUGGGUCGGUUGCUGGCUGGGCCGGCCAGCUGGCGGGGCCGCACAGGUAAGUUUUUCCCUCUCUUUUCUGUUUUCUGUUUUUAUUUAAUAUAUCUGCAACUUUGUUGAAUUAAAUAAAAUACCUAGGCAACUUCAGAAAUCACCAAACUAUUCCUGGCCCAUAGUUGGAUUAUUUCCAACAUGAAACAUUUUAGUUUGGGGAUAUUUGAGCAUUUAAAUAUUUUAUAUUAUUUUAAAUGCCCAAAUUCAAAUAUUUAUGAUUUAAUUCAAAAACCCUAGGAUGGCCUAGGAAAAUGUGCACCAUUUUUGGCAGAGGUUCUGAACCAAGACAAAAAUGAUGGGCAUUUUAGAAGGGCAUUUCAGGUUCAUUGAAAAUUAUUUUAGUAAACCCUAGUUGGUUUCAGAGGGGACUGGGGGUUCUGUCAUCCCCAUUUCAAGUUUCUGAUGAAUGAGUAAACAUGAUGCAACACUCUAAUGCAUGACUAGCUAGGGUGUGACAACUCACCCCCACUCAAAAGAAUCUCGUCCCGAGAUUUGGGUUCCUCCGGGAAGAAGGCGGGAUACUCGAGUCGAAGACGAUCCUCCCUUUCCCAAGUUGCUUCAUCUUCAGAAUGGUGCGACCAUUGAACUUUGAGAAACUUGAUAUUAUGACGUCGGGUGGUACGCUCGGCCUGAUCGAGGAUACGAAUGGGGUACUCUCGAUAUGUAAGAUCAUCUUGGAGAUCAAGCGUUUCGUGGUCCACUUCACGGAUAGGAUCCGAGAAGCAACGCCUGAGUUGAGAGACGUGGAAGACAUCGUGAACUCUGGAGAGGGGCGGAGGUAGUUCCAAUUGGUAGGCAACUUCUCCUCGUUUGGCAAGAAUGCAAAAAGGUCCAAUGUAACAAGGAGCCAAUUUGCCUUUGAUACCGAAGCGAUGGGUUCCCUUCAGAGGGGUGACCCGAAGAUAAGCUUUCUCGUCAACCUCGAAAGUCAUAGCCUUAUGUUUUCGGUCAUAUUGACUCUUUUGACGGGAUUGGGCUGUUUUCAACUUUUCACGAACGAUACGAACCUGUUCUUCUGCUUCCUGAAUCAUAUCCGGGCCAAAGAAUUGUCUUUCCCCGGUCUCUGACCAGUUAAGGGGUGUUCGACAUCGUCGUCCAUAGAGAACUUCAAAAGGGGCUUUACUCAAGCUAGAUUGAUAGCUGUUGUUGUAAGCGAAUUCGGCAAAUGGAAGGCACUUCUCCCAGUCCAUUCCGAAAGAGAUAACGGAGGCUCGAAGCAUGUCUUCUAGAAUUUGGUUGACGCGUUCCACUUGACCACUCGACUGAGGGUGGUAAGCGGUGCUGAAGGAGAGACGAGUUCCCAUAGCAUUUUGGAAACUUUCCCAAAAUCGAGAGGUGAAAAGACUUCCUCGAUCCGAGUUAAUUCCCAAAGGAACACCAUGGAGAGACACUAUUCGGGAGAUAUACAAGUCUGCCAGCUGACUAGCGGUUAUACUCUCACGAACAGGUAAGAAAUGAGCUACUUUGGAAAGACGAUCGACCACGACGAAGAUAGCAUUAUUCCCUCUCUUUGUCCUGGGAAAACCGGUAAUGAAAUCCAUACCAAUUUUAUCCCAUUUCCAUUCAGGAAUAGCUAAGGGUUGAAGGGUGCCAGCAGGCCGUUGAUGCUCUGCUUUUACACGACGACAGACGUCGCAAUUAGCAAUAUACUGAGCGAUUUCUCUCUUCAUCCUAGUCCACCAGAACCUCUGGCGUAGGUCCUGAUACAUCUUAGUACUACCGGGAUGAAUGGUGAGAGGAGAUUCAUGGGCCUCCUUAAGGAUCAACUGCCGUAGAUGCUGGUUCUUGGGAACCACUAGACGGUUCUCAAAAUACACAACACCAUGAUCGUUAGUGGAGAAACAACUAGCACCUCCGCUAGCAAUGUUCUCUUUGAUUUUAGAUAUUCCCUUAUCUCGCUUUUGGGCAGCGAUGAUUUGAUCCGUAAGAGUAGGUUUUGCUACCAAGGUGGAGAGAAAACCUUGAGGAACAAUGUGAAGGUUAAGCUUCCGAAAUUCCUCAUGGAGAAGCGGUUGACUUUGUUGUAACAUCAGGUUGUUACAAUAAGAUUUACGACUUAGCGCAUCAGCCAUGACGUUGGCUUUCCCUGGGGUAUAGGUUAUUCCUAAGUCGAAGUCAGUGAUCAAUUCAACCCAACGUCUCUGCCUGAGAUUCAAAUCCGGUUGGGUGAAAAUGUACUUCAGACUUUGGUGAUCGGUGAAUAUUUCGCAACGAUUACCGAGGAGGUAAUGUCGCCAGGUCUUAAGUGCAUAGACUACGGCUGCAAGCUCUAGAUCAUGAGUAGGAUAAUUCUCCUCAUGUGGGUGCAAUUGCCGUGAAGCGUAGGCAAUUACGUGUCGAUCUUGCAUGAGAAUGCAACCUAGUCCUUGUCGCGAGGCGUCGCAGUAGAUAACAAAGUCCUUGGAGAAGUCUGGCGGUACCAGCACGGGAGCAGAGGUCAGGCGUCUUUUCAGUUCCUGAAAGCUGUGCUCACAUUGUGGAGUCCAUUCGAACUUCUUAUCUUUCUUGAGGAGUUCGGUUAGAGGUUUGGCAACCUUGGAGAAGUUCUCGACAAAGCGACGACAAUAGCUCGCUAAGCCUAGAAAACUCCGAACUUGCUUGACCGAUUCAGGUGGUGUCCAAUCAAGGACGGCUUGAACUCGCUCAGGGUUAACAGCAAUACCUUUACCAGAUAUUACAUGGCCCAGAUAGGUCACUUCUGACAACCAGAAUUCACAUUUUGAAAAUUUGGCAUAAAGGCGAUGCUCUCGAAGUUUCUUCAACACUAGCCUUAAAUGUUCGGCAUGUUCUUCCUCGUUCUUGGAGUAGAUGAGUAUAUCAUCGAGAUAAACUACGACGAAUUUAUCCAAAUACUCCAUGAAGAUUGAGUUCAUUAACCGAGAAAAGGUGGCUGGAGCGUUGGUUAAACCGAAGGACAUGACGGUGUACUCGUAUUGGCCAUAACGAGUAACAAAGGCCGUUUUAGGAAUGUCCCCGUUUCUGAUUUUGAUUUGAUGGUAGCCCAACCUCAAAUCCAUCUUGGAGAAGACUGAGGAUCCAGCGAGCUGAUCAUACAGAUCGUUGAUCCUGGGAAGUGGAUAUUUGUUCUUGAUUGUGACCAAGUUGACAGGUCGGUAAUCUACAACCAUCCGGUCCGUACCAUCCUUUUUCUUAACGAAUAGGACGGGGCAAGCCCACGGAGAUGAGCUAGGUCGAAUGAAACCCUUUUUCAAGGACUCAUCGAGUUGUUUCUUAAGCUCGGCUAGUUCUAGGGGUGCCAUCUUAUAGGGUCUUCUAGCAAUCGGAACGGUUCCGGGGAUGAGGUCGAUUACGAACUCAACAUCCCUGUCAGGUGGAACACCUGGCAAUUCUUCUGGAAAGACAUCCGGGAAGUCAUGGACUACCGGAACGUCCUCAAGGUCUGGCAAGGGGCUGGCGUUAAGAGAAUAUAAUUGUCGCUUGGCUAUUCGGGUCAAGACAUUGACUAUCUUCCCCGAAGGAUGGGUGAGUUGAACAGUCCUAGAGAAGCAAUCAGUUUGGGCAUGAUGGGCUGACAUCCAGUCCAUACCCAGAAUGAUAUUAAUAUCUGAAGAUUUAAGGGCUAUCAAAGAUGCAAGGAAAACAAGUCUGUCGACUUGGAUCUCAUUUCCAUAACUUACCCUAGAGGUCUGCCAUCUAGACCCAGGGGUAGAGAUUUCCAUAGUGGAUGGCAAGUCACAAAAUGCAAUGUUAUGCAGACGAGCAUAAUUUUCGGAUAUAAAAGAAUGAGAGGCUCCUGUAUCGAAAAGAACAGAUGCCGGGUGGCAAUUAACAAGAAGCGUACCGAGAACGACGUUGGGAUCCUCUUGAGCUUCUUCGGCAGAGACACAAUUGACAUGGCCACGUGAAGCGGUGACCGGUUUAGCAUGAAACACUUUCCCUGUCGGUUUGCCACGGCCAACAGCUUUAGCAGAUUGAUUGGGGUUGGUCUGGGGGCAUUCACGCAUAUAGUGACCAGAUUCCCCACACUUGAAACAAGUCACGGAACUGGUACGUGGAGGAGCAUUGUUAGAUGGACCCCCAUAGGGCUUGGCCGGUGCAGACUGUUGAACAGGGCGAGGCGCCUGGAAAGAUGGCCUCGGUGUGAACCUGGGUGGCAGGGCGGUGUUGGGUACCCACACGCGGCGCUUCUGAGGACCAGCACCGGAUGAGGAACCCAUGUCACGUCCAUGCUUGCGUGUUGCGUCAUAGUCAGUCUGACCAGUUUCAGCACUGAUGGCUUUGUUGACAAGUUUCGAAAAGGAUGUGCACUCAUGCAGACGGAGGUCGCGGCGAAGCUCAGGACUAAGGCCCUUGCGGAACCUUGCUUGCUUCUUGGCGUCAGUAGAAACUUCCUCGGUUGCAUAUCGGGCAAGAUUACCAAACUCCCUGCUAUAGACAUCCACAGAAAGUCGGCCUUGGGUGAAAUUGCAAAAUUCUUCACGCUUACGGUCCAUGAGACCCUCCGGAAUGUGAUGUUCACGGAAAGCCUCGCUGAACUCAGCCCAAGUAGUGACAUGGCCCGCUGGGCGCAUGGCUCCAUAAUUCUCCCACCAUAGACUGGCGGGGCCUUCAAGAUGAUAUGCGGCAAAGGUGACCUUGUCAGCCUCCGCUACCAGCGCGGAACGCAGCUUGUGAGAGAUACUGCAAAGCCAGUCAUCAGCGUCGAGAGGCUCGACGGAGUGGUGGAACGUGGGUGGAUGCAAUUUGAUAAAAUCACUGAGUGACACCACGUUAGCCCUCUGAUGGUGUGCUGUAUUCUGUUCAAUACGCUCCAACAAACGGUUUGUCUCCCGCUUGUUUCUCUCAGCUUCCAUCAUCACCUCGGCUAGUGAAGGAGGAUGAGGCAGAUUUUCAUUCCUGGCUUCACUGCCUUCGGCCUGCUCUUGGGAGGCAGGGUUGGCGCGCGUGUUGACCAUCCUAGGUAAACAAGACAAUGAUUUAGUCAGAAUGAUGAAAUUCCGACAUGGGAUACAUAAUGUAAGAAAUAACUCGGAAUGCAAGAUGAUCAUCCGUAUGACAUGGUAGAUACAGAAACUGCUUCUUUAUUCCAUCGUCAUACACACCAUACAAGGUUUAGUACAAGACCAAACAAAGUACUAUUACGGUGAGAAAAGGAUUACAUCUCAUCGGAGGCAUUCCAAGCUCCUAUACAUUAUUUUUCUACACCUCCGGAAGGAGUACAAACUAGGUCAUAACCCACGAGUCACGCGGGACGAUAGAUGACACAGCUAGUGCGAACUAGUGAUGCUACCACUAACUCAGACCGAUCCGUAGUAGUCCUCGUAGAAGUCACCUCCAUAGCCUGGAAGCUCCACAUGUUCAUCCGGAAACAGACGGUCUCGCGGAGCUUGUGGUCCAUAGGGACUAGGAUGAGGUCGUGGACCAACAAACGGUGGCCUGCGGGGACCGCGAGGUGGGGUGAUGCCUCCUACAUCACGCCAAACCAUCACGUCUGGCAGAGCAGAUCUCACAGGAUAGAGAUCGCGCAUAUCUGAAUAUCCAGCUUGCACCGCCGGUGCGAACCGAGUCAAAGUGGCCCAGUGAUCAGCACGGGUAUUGAAGAGCUCUAACCUCAAGGCCCGAUUUUCACGGUCCUUAUCCUCGAGCAUCUCAGCAGUGGUGCGAGUCCGUGAAUCCUCCUGAGUGGAGUCAGCAUAGAUAGCCUGGAGAUACCCUUGUGCUCCCGGAAGUGAUCCUGGCAUAUACCGGAAGUCAGAGUCCCGAAAUAGACCAGAUCUGACUCGCAUAAUGGUCAUCAUAGAGUAGGCGGCAUCCUGCACAGCCAUCUCAAUAGUAACCCCGAGUCCAUAGGAGCAGUGAAGAGGCUCGGUGGAUCCAGGAUAAGAUGGAAAUAUCCUGACAGUGCAGAGAUACUGGCUUUGGUUGAAGUCUCGGAAUUGCUCUUCGACCGUGUACUCAGGAUACCAGCGGUAUCCAGCCUCAGUCAUUACCCUGACCAACUUAGCAGUAUGGCCGGGUACAUCUAGGCAUCGAGUCAGGCGAACCACUUGAUUGAGGUCGCGAGUGGCCAUCUGAAAGCAUAAUCAUAAUGCAAAGGCAUUAGAAUUUCUAGCAAAAUUUCGGCAGCAUAACAGCUGUAAAUGCUCAAAAAGGAUAUUGAGACAUUUGACAAAGGAUUUCGUACACACUCAACAUCAUCAUAUCAAAGUUCUGAAACCAUUCUGGCAACAUGAUGUGGUAGUAGAACUGAACUAGGCUGGUAACCAACAAACUUAUAAGGUACUACUGAUUAGUAACUCGUGAUCCUGAUAGAGAGAAUCAGAUCCUAAUUCCUUAACCCCCGGUGGAAGAAUGGACUGACUCAGAUCAGAAUGUCAUAAGGUAUAAGGAGUAAAAGAGCCUUACGUUCCAACCCACAAACAAUUCCCCUACAUAUAACUAAAGAAUUUCUAGACUCAACAUCGACCAGUUUGGCUUGGAGAACCUACAGGCAGUCCGGCUCUGAUACCAACGCUGUCAGGACCCCGACUCGAUGUCACAUCGAUCUAGCUGGUAACACCUCAUAUCACUUUGCGGCCUCACGCACGGUAUCCCCACGGGUGUCGUCUUACCUUUUCCCGGGACCGUUUGCGCCUUUUGGCUCACGUAUAUGAUAGCGUCGCUAGCAUCCAUAUGAUAAAGAGCCCGGGCUGACAUGACUAGUCGUAAACCCAAAGUGGCACAGACUUACAGGGACAGGCAUCCAUGACCCAGCUUCGAACGUGUCGGUCAUCAGCAAGUGGGUCCGGGCUGUAGCACUGGGCUAGCAGGACUCCGGUAAACCGGGCUGUAGCGGGCUAACAGGACUCCGGUACUCAAAGCGUGACAUUUCCCCGAAGGGACAGACACAGGAACGAAGAAGGACACAUGCCGGCCAGCCUAAGUGUUCCAGAGCAGUAGCAAGCUACCAUGGCUCAGCGGAAACACUAGGAGACAUUUCCCGGUAAGAGAGGCUACUAAAGAUAAACAACUAGAUAGUCAGAUCCCACACAUACCAAGCAUUUCAAUCAUGCACACAAUAUGCUCGAUAUGUGCGAAUACAACGAAGCAUCACAACAUGACUCUACGACACAAGUACUUUAUUUAAGGCUCAGGGAGCCAUACAUAUCAUACACACAGGUACGGGUCUCACGACCCAACAUACAAAUCAUACAGUCAUACAAUCCAACAGCGGAAGUACUUUGUCUGGGUACAGACAACUAGUAAAAUAAAAGAGGCUUGGAAGCCUAACUAUACUACGUGGUCCAUCACAAGCUCAGGGUCACCACCUGGGUCUUUAGCCUACUCGUUGAUGUCAACGUCUACAUAGAACCCAUCAGAAGGGGUUGCAGCGUCUUCUGUAAAAAUGUAGAUUAUAGCAACAUGAGUACAAAGGUACUCAGCAAGACUUACAUCAGAUCCUACAUACAUGCAUAGUAUCAAGAAGGGUUGGUGGAGUUAUUGCAGCAAGCCAGCUUUGACUCUUGGCUAGACUAUCCUACGAUACUCCAACUUGAAAUAGUUUUGCGCACACGAGUCCACUAUUCACCACUUCAAUACACUACCGAGGAUCCACCUCCGUCUUCCUACGGAAGAGCCAUCCUCGGCACUCACACUUAUCUUGAGGCUUUUAAUAGUAUCCAUUUACUUGUCUAUGAACUGUAUAGGCAACCAAGUAGUCCUUUACCGCGGACGCGGCUAUUCGAAUAGAUCAUGUUAACCCUGCAGGGGUGUACUUCGUCAUACAUGUUUCCACCACUUAGCGUCUGCACACGACAUGUGCUCGGCAGACUUCAAGCGAAAGCCGACGUGGGUGUAGACCACGACCUACCUAAACACUUAAGCCUCUAGUCCAGGUUUAUCGCCUAUUCAGGUUCCAUCCGUAGGGAGUCCGGCCGAGGUUUCCCAUACGGCCCCGAACGAUGUGAACAGGGUUCCCGAGAUACCUAACGGGUAUUCGGUACACCCGGCCACGUACCUACCGCAUCACAGCCCACCCCUAUGGUCAGCGCUGUCCACGGCCUCCAGUAGGCUACAAACACCAGAAACUACUUGCAACUCCUGGACAGAGAGCUAGGGUGAAUAAGAAGUCGAGCGGGGUCAUAUUUCAGGGCCCAAUGUAUGGUAGUAGCUGAUUCUUAAAUCACACAUACAGAUCUCAGUGCUUAAGGUCGGCUUCAAUGAAACAACCCACCAUGUACUCCUACAUGGCCUCUCAUCGAUACCUUUACCAAAUCGUGUUCACCACACCACUCUCAUUACCGACAUAAUCAUUUCACUCUAGCCCAUCACCCAGAUGAACCAGACCUGACACGACUCUAAGCAUAGCAGGCAUAGCAAGGUAGGAACAACAUAUACAUAUGGCUCAAUCAACUCCUACACAUGCUAGUGGGUUUCAUCUAGUUACUGUGGCAAUGACAGGUCAUGCAGAGGAAAUGGGUUCAACUACCGUAGCACACAGCAGUUUGAAUCGCGUUGUCUUAAUGCAGUAAAAGAGAGCAGGAGCGAGAACAUGGGAUUGUAUCGAUAUGAUCAAAUGGUUGGUUGCUUGCCUGAUGGUUCGAUGCACGGAUACGGUUCUUCGUUAGGGUAAUCACGGUACUCCUCGGGGACAGAACCUGUCGCAAAGGGCAUCGAUACACAAGCAUCACCAAACAAUGUGCAACAAUAUGAUGCAUGCAUGAAACAUGGCAAUAUGAGUGUAUUGGGCUAAUGCAACUAAAGUCAGAAGGGUUUGAACAAAUUUGAAUCAAAGAUUCAAAUUUCAAAUUCCAAUAUGGCCUUUUAAAGUGCUUUUCCUUGUUCUGCUUGAAUCAUCAAUUUAACUUGUUUGAUCAUGCAUGAAAAUAGUACAGAUGGAUAGAUUGGAUUUUUCUGAUCAUUUUUCAUAUAUAAUUUGUCCAAUUUGGAGUUACAGAAUAAAAGUUAUGAAUUUUUGAAGUUUAAAUAAUAUUCUGGAAUUUCCUGAUUUAAUUUAAAUCCAGAAAAUUAAUUACUGCGUCAGCCUGACGUCAGUGUGACGUCAGCAGGUCAACUGCGGCUGGCUGAAGUCAAACCUGACGGGUGGGGGCCACACGUCAGUGACAGGGGGGGUUAAACAGAUUUAAAUUAAUUCUAAUUACUAAUUAGUGGCGCUGGGGCCCACUGUCAGUGUCAGGGGGGGUUGACUAACAGUAGUUAGCGCUAACCUAACCAUCUGGCCGACAGGGCCCACGCGUCAGCGACCCUGGGGGGUCAAACCCCAGGUCGGUCAAAUCAAACCCCACCGGCGACAUGACGCCGGCGAGAUCCGAGACGGCGGCGAGAGUGCUUUUUGCCAUUCCGGCGACCAAAUGGACGGCGGAAGGCAUCUACGUGUUGCUGAGGUUGAGCCGCGUCUAUUGGUGGUGGUGGUUGGGCUCGGGGUGGCCGGAGUUGACGGCGGCGAGCUCGGCUGCGGCGGCCGGAGUUCGGGUGCGGUCGGGAUCAGUGUUGCAGGGGGUUUGGGGAGGCGUUGGUGCAUUCUACGUGCUCCUGGUGAUGUGUGGAGCACGAUGGUGUGCUCGGUUGGGCGCUACGGCGACCGUGGCCACGACGGCGACAUCGCCGGCGGCGUGGAGCUCUCGGUCGAGGUGGAGCUAGGGCCUAGAGGUCGGGAGAGACCAGGGAAGAAGGGGGAAACGCUCCGGGGGCUCACCGCGGUUGCAGUGGGCGUCGAAGCGGGCUCGGGGACGCGCCGGAGACGACGAAUUUGACGGCGACGGUGGUCGGAGUCCGAAGAGGGGAACGGCGACGUGGCGGCGAUGCAGGGCUUCCGGAGACCCGUGGAGCGGUGGGGAGGAAGAGGGAGUUGUGGCGGAGCUUCUGAGCUAGUCGGGGGAGCGAGGGGUGGUCGGAGACGAUUGCUACGGGGAACGGUGGCGACGGUGGUGUUCGGCCGUGUGAGAGAGAGAGCGAGGGAGAGGAAGGAGAGAGCCGGGGAGAGUGAGAGAGAGCAGGGGGGAUCGGGACGGGCUGCAGGCGUCGUCCACGCGGCCAGGAGGGCGUCGGCAAGCAGGAGGUGGCCGCGCGGCCGUGCGCGCGCGAGCACGCAGCAGCUUCGGGGCGAGGGGAGGAAGACGACGGGGAGCUACAGUGCUGGGCUGGGUCGGUUGCUGGCUGGGCCGGCCAGCUGGCUGGGCCGCACAGGUAAGUUUUUCCCUCUCUUUUCUGUUUUCUGUUUUUAUUUAAUAUAUCUGCAACUUUGUUGAAUUAAAUAAAAUACCUAGGCAACUUCAGAAAUCACCAAACUAUUCCUGGCCCAUAGUUGGAUUAUUUCCAACAUGAAACAUUUUAGUUUGGGGAUAUUUGAGCAUUUAAAUAUUUUAUAUUAUUUUAAAUGCCCAAAUUCAAAUAUUUAUGAUUUAAUUCAAAAACCCUAGGAUGGCCUAGGAAAAUGUGCACCAUUUUUGGCAGAGGUUCUGAACCAAGACAAAAAUGAUGGACAUUUUAGAAGGGCAUUUCAGGUUCAUUGAAAAUUAUUUUAGUAAACCCUAGUUGGUUUCAGAGGGGACUGGGGGUUCUGUCAUCCCCAUUUCAAGUUUCUGAUGAAUGAGUAAACAUGAUGCAACACUCUAAUGCAUGACUAGCUAGGGUGUGACACAUUAAGAAUUUUUUUUGAUGCGAAUCAAAGGAGUCAAUACACACUAACAAUGCACACUACAAAUGAAUAACCAAAUACAAUGAAAAUGUAGACAUGUUUCAAUAGGAAAACAACCUAAAACAUACCGAUAAUGAAGCGUAUAAUGGCGUUAGAAGACCCAGACAAUGGCAGUGCCCUACCCUCCUUUUGAAAAUCUUCCUAAUUUUAGCAAGAGCAAUACUUUUGAAGAUCUAUUACUCAAUGUACACAUCUUCCUUAAUUUUACCAAACGGACAUGAUAAAUAUACCUCUUCCUCCUCUUUCCUCUGCAUUUGCUGAUCCUUUCCUCUUCUUUUCCAUCUUAUGAAGAGAAGUCACAGAACUGCGCCGGUUGGGCAUCUUAUUAGCUUGUAUGUAUAAUCAUCUAAAAACAAAAACUUGUGCGUACACUAGCAUGAAUGAAAAAUAUAAUUAUAUAAACAAAGUGGCAGUGGCUGCAAAUAGUUCAGAGCAGAGGAGUGGUUCAGAGUUUCGGACCCUAGGAGAUUACCAGGAAAAUCCCCAACAGUCGUUGCCUGCUGGAGCCGCCGCUUGCUGCUGCCGCUGGAGCUUGCUGCCACCGCCCUCUAAGCCCCCGGCCCGGUCGUCGGUCACCCGCGGCCCUCCUCGUCCUCACGACCUGGCCAGCCGCCGCCGCCGCCCUAGCUGCUUAGGGUUGCAUCGCGGCUGGGCGUCGUGUCUCGUGUGCGUGGGCGCUGGAUCGAUCUCGACCAGUUGUUACUGGCCCAAGUGCCCAACAGCUGGAUGCGUCGCGUCGGCCCAUCAGGCCAGGCUGGGUGCGGUCGAACGAGUUAAGCAAUUGAUUCAAGUAUCAAUCGAUAGAUGCAUAUGUAUAUAAUUUUUUUUGCCCAAAAGUUAGGUAUGGCGGCUGCCAUACCCUGCCCACUGGAGAGGUCCGCCAGUGGUGUGUUACGCCGAUGAUUACACCCUCGCCAUCACGUCGUCUCCAUCAUCAAACAUCUCAUUGCUUUUUGGCUCCAUGUGUUGCGCAGUCCGCGACCCCAACUGGCUCGCUGCCAUGCGCAACGAGUUCAUUGCGCUUGUUGGCAAUCUCAAGUGGGAGCUGGUUCCUUGACUGCCACACGCCAAUAUCAUCAUUGAUAAGUGGGUUUUGUGCCACAAAACUCGCAUUAAUGACUCCCAUGCACGCUAUAAAGUGCGUCCGGUUGUGUGCGGCCUUCGGAAGCCCUCUACUUGGACUGCAUGAAGACUUUUUCGCCAAUUGUAAGCCUGCUGCAGUUCUCAUGGUGUUCACACCUCGUUCGUGCCUCGCGUGGCUUCCCAGUCAACCAGCUUGACUUGAAGAACACCUUCCUUCACUACGCACUCAGCGAGGAGGUGUUUUGCCUUCAACACGUCGGCUUCAUCCACGCUCCAAACCAAAACACAUUUGUCGCCUGACAAAGUCCCUCUACAGCCUCAAGUAGACACCAUGUUCAUGGUUUAUUCGCUUCACGUACUUUCUCUCGACCAUUGACUUUACUGCCACAUAUACCUGGCCAUACCUCGGGCCGGGCCGGGCUUCGCGUCGGGCCUAGCCAAGCCCGACGCAAAAAAACCCAGGCCCGGGCCAGCCCGGCGCAGCCAUCGGGCCUGUUUUCUGGGCCCGAGUCCGGCCCGAGCACGUAAAAGCCCGUCGGGCUCCGGGCCGGCCCGGCCCGACCUUUAAAAAAAUACAAAAACAACAGGCCCGGGCCCGGCCCGGCCCGGCCAUCGGGCUCAAAAUCUAGGCCCGAGCCCGACCCGGGAGCAGCGUCGGGCCGGGUCGGGUUGGGCUUUUUCGGGCUGGCUGGGCCGGGUUUCCCAUGGCCAGCUAUACUGCCAUAUGCUUUGACAACUCGCUAUUUUUCUGCACACACGACACAACCACCUCCUACGUCUUGUUGUAUGUGGACGAUAUUGUCCUUAUUGUAUCCCGCUUCCGCAGCGCAUUAUGGCCAAGCUCACCAUCUGAGUUGGAUGAAGUGGUGGUGAUUUCUCUCCGGAAAAAUAAAAAAGAUGAAGUGGUGAAUCAAGGAAAGGAAUGAUGUCAUCGGAUUUCACAGGGAUCAUUUGUCGUUAGCAGAGAAAAACGCCAUUUGUAAAUAAACUUAUCAAAUUGACGGCCUUAAUUUUGGACCUGCCUAAUUUUGAGCUUUGGGUCAACUUAUUUUUUUGACAAAACCGGCCCCGAAUCUCCUGUGUAGUGUCGUGUCUGCCUCACCAUUUUCCUCCUCCCUCCCAUCGACACGCCGCCCGCCCCGCCUCCAUUUCCCCAACUCGCGCUGCCGUUCCCGCCGCCCCAAGCCUCCAAAACCCUACCCACCUCCGCCCAGCCAGCCAUGGCCCCGCCCCCCACCUCCGGUAAGCGGCCCCAAGCCCCCGACCUUGCCUCCUACCCGCAUUGGCCCUAACUUGUCCCCUUUAAUUUCCUCCCCUGCAGCUGCAGGCCUGCAGCAGCGGCGGCUCCUCAAGGCGGCGGCCGACGGCGACCUUGGCCGCUUCAAGAGUACGCCCGCGCCUCCCUCUCCCCGUGCUAGUUUUCCGCUUGGUUGUUUGUUUGUGCUCGAUCCUGAUUUGGGCGCGAUUUUUUCCCCGUCAGGCAUCGCGAGCGCGCUGGAUGGCGGGAAGGGCCGCGUCAGGGAGGCGGUGGAGGCCGCCAGGGACGGCGGAUCCGGGCCGCUGCACGCCGCCGCCCGCCACGGGAGGAUGCCGGUGUGCGUCUACCUCGUCGAGCAGCUUGGCGUGAACGUCGAUGCCGCAGACGACAAAGGUGCUCUGUUUCGUUUCACAAAAUGUAAAAUACCCAGCGUGUCUAGAAACUGAGGUGCCGCCUUGACGACAAAGGUGCUCUGUUCACCAGGGGCGCAGUCAGUAGGAUGAUAAUGUACGCACGGAUGCUUUAAUUUUGCUGCAUUUUAGGGGGAAAAUUGGCAAAAACCCACCCACCUGCAGGGGGUUUCAAAAAAACCAGCAAGUUCUUGGAUUGUUUGGAUUGCUUAGCGUAAUUCAAAAAACACACACACACACACACACCAGUAAGUGUUGAUGUGUCCUCGACUCGUACAGAGGAGCCCCUGGCUCGGUUUGGCCCGGUGAGCGCUGAUAUGGUGCUCUGCUCACAGGACAUCCAGCGAGGAUCCAGAUGUGGAUUGUUAUGUGGAUCCUUCGGAUGUAUUGUAGGCAAUAGAGACAUGUUUCAUAGUAAAUACAAAUAAUCUUAAUAUGGAUUUUCUUCUUUCAGAAAUCAGAACAUAUGAUUUGUUGAACUUCUUAUUCUGAUGGUUUCGAUAGGUGAUACACCUCUGAUGUAUGCACUUGGUUGGGGGAAUUUGGAUACUGUGAGGUAUCUCCUUGAUCAUGAUGCUGAUCCAGAAAAGCGUGGUGAACACGGAAUGACCGCUCUACAUGUGGCAGCUGGAGCAGGUACCCCCUGUGCAUACGUAUUUCAUAUUUCUAUUUGUUCAUACUGUUACUUGUCAAUGUAUUUUGGCAGAUUGCAGGUUAUGGAAUUUACUACUACCUCUAUUCUUCUCUAUUUGUCUUUAUUGACUUUCUGUAGUCUUCGAAGUUUCAUAUUAACUACUACUCGUUUAACAUGGUAGCGGUAUGUACUGAUGAAACUAUGCUUUUAUAAAGACAAAUCUAGCGAUAUAAUUCUUAUAUAGCCAUGGUAGCUAUCAACAUGUUAGUGGCCAAACAUCUAAAUUUUUGACGGCAUGUGUUCUAAAUAGGACCUGUAAAAAAUAUUGCACAUAGUAUAAGAUAGGGAAUGCCCCAUGUCAUAUAGUUUUUUUUUUUGGAAAAGGGGAUGUACCCCAGCCUCUGCAUCAGAAAGAUGCAUACGGCUCAUAUUAUUAAAAGGACAGUUCAGUAACACAGUCUCGAAAGGUCGUAGUACAAACAAAAACAAAAUCUCAAAAGAGGAAAUACCCAAAGCCACAACCGGCUGGCAAAACAAUAGGAUCACUACAUGCCUAUCCUAUUACAUGACCGCCAUCCAAACCGGUUGAAAAUAUCCCGAGCUACCAUCUCCCAUCGGGUAGACGCAGUAACCAAACGCUCUCUGGCCACCGUCGGAGUGAGUAGCGACCACAUACGGAUGAACGCCGUGGCCCUGAAGAUAACAUGCAAAAAGUGAAUGGUUGUUGAUCUGUUAAAGACUAAAUCAUUUCUGCAGUUCCAUAUUGCCCACAAUAAUGCACAAACGCCAACCCGAAUGUGUCUUGCAGUGUCAGAAUCCACCCCAUCAAGCCAUGUUCCAAAUAACAUGCUGAUUGAGGUGGGCUGAUUAAUAUUAAACGCAAUAUGAACCGAUCGCCACAGAAUCUUAGCCAACGGACAAUCGAGAAAGAGGUGUUUGAUGUUUUCGUUAUGAUCACAAAAGCUACAUCUAGACGAGCCCACCCAAUUUCGUUUUGCAAGGUUAUCCUUAAUCAAAAUGACUUGUUUAUGCACAAACCCAUGUCAUAUAGUUAGGUUGCACAUAGUUAUGCUUGCGUCCUUCAGCUAUUUAGAAAGAUUUCCAUGAUAAAUGGAGUGAUUGCAUAGGCUAUCUCUGAUUGUUCCCUUGUUUGUGCAACUGCAACAAUAUGAUAAAUGGAGUGAUUGCGUAGGCUAUCUCUGAUUGUUCCCUUGUUUGUGCAACUGCAACAAUAUGAUGUUUGUGGGACUAUUUAUCGUAAGCUAUGAACUAAUAGAUAAUUACUGCAUGUUCCGUAUUGAUACAUUCUGUCAAAAAGGGAGCUGUAUCUAAAGAAAGUUAUGCUAUCAGUAAUUUGAUAGUCCUAAUUAAGGCAGAAACCAUAAAAUUAAAGAGUUCCAUCAUAUAGAACAGAUUGAGAUUAUAUAUUCAGAUUAAUUAUUUCUAAGCUACAUGUUUUCAUUUGAUCCAGUGCUAUGCGUUUUUGAGUAGCACUAACGAAAUGAGACUUGAUUAUUGUUGUCCAUGAUAACAAUUAAAAUACUAUAUUCAUUUUACCUUUACCGUUAAUAUGGUUUUCUUAAUCUAUCUUAAUGUACUAGUACAAAAUAAAAUUGGUGUUGCAUUGGGAGUCUCAGGCAUGUGGAUCCUAGUACGAUUCAAUAUUAGAUAUUCAAUCUGAAUUAGCAUUUGGUGCACAUCUGAUUGAUAUUCGAGUAUGGCUUGUGAUAUUGUUUUAGCCACUAUAUCAUUAGAAUUCUACUAUUUAUAUGUCUAAUAAUCUGUAUUUCCAAUUCAGGAAUGUGUGAAAUGAUAGAGGUCUUGCUCUCAAAAGGAGCUGAUGUUAAUUCCGUUUCUUUCUGUGGGACACCAUUGCAUGCUGCUAUUACCGGAAAGCAUGAUGCUGCUGUGAAGACCUUGUUGGAUCAUCAUGCAGAUGUAAGCUCCUUUUCUGUGCUUGGUAUUGUUUGAUCUACUAUAUUUACAACAUGCUGAUAAUUGUUGCACAUGUUUUUCAUUUGUUGUUUUGUCUAUUACCUUCUUUUUAGAUAAAUUUGGUUCUGUAGCAUUGAGAUGACAAGUUUUCAAAAGUAGAACUCAGUACUGAACUAUUUUCGUUCGUUUAGUACCAUUUAAAUUUUCCACCCUAAGUUCUAUUUAGGACUGGUAGCGAACCAAAAUUUCUUCUUCUCAACAUGCUUGCAUACUUUAAUUGUGUGACACUAUUAAUUCCUUAGUCUGUCUUGACAGUGUAACAAGGCAAUGGCCAUACAUUAUACGCCCCUGAUCGCUGCUAUCCAUGUUCGCUCACUGAAGUGUGUGAAACUUCUGAUUAAGGUAAUGUACAUCCUUCUUAAUCCAGUUGGAAUUUGUUUUCUUCAGUGACUAGUAAGCUCUCUGAGAUUGUUUGAUUUAUGGCACGCUUAUUUCCAAUGUGCUUAUUAAUUUCUUCUGUAUUAGGCGGGUGCUGAUGUGAAGGGUGUUGGUCCGCUAACCCCGUUAAUAGCCGCUGCGGAUGAUGGUUUAACUGAUUUCUACAAACCUUUACUUGUGGCUGGUGCUGAUCCUAAUGUUCGCGAUGAUGUAAGGUUUAGUUUCUCAUGUUUUUGCAUGUUCUUCACACUAUGGAAUGAUUGUUUACACACUGGAAGUUUUACAAUAUAAUUAAUUGCUGUUGGUAUCGGUACUUCUGGAAGAUGGUCUAUUUCUUGAUUCAGCUAACGGAUGUUACUAUUGAUAUUUGGUCUCCAAUGGAAGUUGCAUCUUAGUACAUUUGCAACAGGAAUGUCACCGUGAGACCAUCUCUAGCAGAUCCCGUAUAUGUCCGGCCAAGUGCGUUUUUCCGUCCGUUUUACGGGAUGGGCCAAAAAUACGGCCAGAGUAGGUCUGCUAAAAAGGGUCCGGCCCGUAAAACUUUUACAGGCGGCCCGUAAACCGCCCUCCAUUCGUCCAUUCCUCCAUAUAUGCGGGCGCCAGUGCAUUUUAGGGUUCCCGUCCCGUUUUCCCCCAUCCACCCCCGCCGUGAAAUCCCUCCUCCGGCGAGAAAUCUCUAGACCUCGGGCUGCGAUUUGCGCCGCAUUUAACCAUCAGAAGUUGCCGGAGAUGGCAUCCGCGGGUGCCGGUUGUGGCGGCGGCGGGGGGUUCGAUGGCCGCAAACGACACAACGUCGACGAGACCGGAAGUUUGUCCCUCCGCCCUCCGGUGUCGGAAAGGCGCAGGGAGCAGGCACGCUGCCGCAGCGCGCGGUCCCGCAGAGCCGGAGCGUUGGCGUGGGCGAACUUGCGUCGCCUUGGGCGGAUCUUCGAUCCGGCCAUCCAGCGCCUCCGGGCUCCCAAGCGCGCCUGGUGGGAGGCGAAGGUGCCCGUCGCCGCCAGAGAUGCAGCUGCGGUUGCGCGUCCCGGCGCUCCGCGAGGAGUACCAACUCCAGCAGACCCUCUCCGGCACGCUCAUUUACCACACCCUCCAUGGCAACGAGCCCCUGCCCCGCGAGGACGGCUCCGGCGGCGAGGGCGACUCCGGCGAUGAGUAUAAUAUGCUAGUAUGCUUUCCGUUUAGUAUGAUGUUUAAUUUUGGUUUGUAUUGAACUCCCGUAUGGUAUGUAGUAGAUGAACUCCCCUAUGCUAUGUUUGAUGAACUCCGGUGAUCUGUGUUUUAGCGCAAGCUAGAAGUUUGAAUAUGCGGUAUCGGUGGUUGCAGGAUCUGUUCUGGCUGCGCAUCCGGCGUCCUGCAAAAAUUGUUUCCGGGAUACCAUAAAUGAUUUUUGCGGGCGGCGGGUUGCGGGAUCUGCUAGAGAUGCUCUGACGCCUGAGAUAUAUAAUCUUCAUAACAUUUUUACACAUUCCUUCAUAUUCUGUGGAGAUUGUAGUGCACAUAUGUUGAAAGGUUGAUCUUAUGUAACUAUUAUCUUAUCCUUUGUCAUGAGGGUGGGAAGCUAAGUAGGCACACAGCAGCAAACUGGCCGUAAUGCUAGCAUGGGUCAUGUGCGCAUGGUUGUGCGCACCUGGCCGGCUGCAAUGUAGGUCCCAAAUUAGGAACUCACGUGAGCCUGCGAGUGGAAAUAUAUUGCCAUACCCCUGAAUCUUAUGUAGUUAUAAUGAUGUCAUUAUAAUGAUGUCAGCCGUGACAUUCUGCAUGCAACAUCUGUCAGUCUAUCCGUGGGAGUUCCCUUCUUUGAUAAAUUGGCUGCAUGCAUCACUCCGAUGCAGAGGUCGGGGAUGUCCUCCUUUUCAAUAAAAAAAAAUCUGUGGGAGUUCCCUUAGAGAUGAAAUUUUACUCAUUUAUUGUAUUAUAAAUAGCAAAAUGGAUUGUCUCAUAAAUGUGAUGCCAAUUUUUUUGAUUUCUCACUGAACAUGCAUCCUAACAUGUCACUAAGGACCUCUGGUCACAAAUACUUGCUGUUUUGGACAUUGAGAAUGUGUCCAAAAUGAAAAUUUGACCACUAAAUUUCUAUUGUAAUGUAAUAAUACAAUCUAAUAUGGUUAAUUGGUUAUAAUAUUUUGGAAGUUCAUUUUGAGAAAAAUCUUCACAUAUAAUUUUCAUGUUUGAAAUUUAGUUAAAAUUUCAAAAGUUUAACUACAUGUAUGUCCAAAAUAGCAUUAUGUCUGACCAGAGUUAGUAUACCUGAAGUAUGUAGAAGUAAUUGUGAAAUCAGUGCAGUGAAAUGUGAGCUUUGUGUUGUUUGCAAUGUUCAAUUUUCGUCAGAUGUUCCGUGUGAUGGACUGCUUGUUGCAGAAAUAUUUAGAGGUGCUUCAGAUCUGUUUGAACUAUAUAUAAUGUAUAACGACUGGAUUUACUGGGCAUGCCUUUGGUAGAGGUUAUACUAUACAUGUUUGUAUUUGUUAAUCUCCCAUUACCUCAAGUAAAAUGUGUCUUUGCUUUAUAUUAACAGGGAGAUCAACUGCCAAUAGAGAUUGCUGCACGUAACAAUAGACGGAAAGAUGUUGAGAUCCUUUUUCCGGUGACAUCUCGUAUUCCAUAUGUGCAUGAUUGGAGUGUUGAUGGGAUACUUGCUUAUGUCAAAUCAGUGCCAAAGGAGGAGGUAUAAAUUCGACGAUUUUGGCAUAUCUAAGAUUAUUAUCAUGUCUUAAUACUUGCCCUAGAGCAGCCUACCCCAACUUUAUUGGGACAAAAGGCACUAGAGCAUUUUCUAUUCUUUAGAAUCUUCGAUGCAUCCCUAACUUGAAGCAAGUAUAUCAGAGUUUAAACACAUGUUUGUUCCAAACACAAUUGGAUAACUGGAAUAUCACCAUAGGAUUGAGUGGAUGAAAUCAAAUUGACAUAAGUCGUUUCUCUUGAAAAGUUGCAGUUCAUUUAAUCUUCAAACUUCGUCAUUACCCAUCUGAAAAGUUCCAUUCCAUUGACACAUCAAGACAUUUAUUUUCUUCUUUCUGGAACCAAAUCAUUCAUCGGUAUUGAUCGCAUUAUGGAUAAAAGUUUGCAGAAUGGGAACAAGAUAUGGUGUCAAAUGUUUGUCUUCCUAACUAAAAGGAUCCUUGUGUUUUCUUUUCCCACUUAAUUUUACAUAUAUUGACUAAUCUGAAAAACAUUGAAUUGACAUAAGCUCUAAGGAUCACUUUGAUACUUUUCUUUUGGGCGGUCUCAGUUCAAGCGGUGGCCUCAGUUUGCAUGAACUUCUGAAUUUGACUGUUUCAGGACGACCCGUUGUACAAAAUGGGGCCAGCUUAUCUGAAAUCAGAAGGAAACAAGGCAUACAAGAGAAAAGAUUAUGUUUCUGCAAUAAAUUUCUACAACAUGGUAUGUGUUGUACUAUGCUCUUUUACCAGCUCCAAAUUAAUCAGUGCAAGGAAAAAAAAUCUCCUAAUGUAUCAUUGUGGUUUAUGAACUAGUUGAAUGGUUUGCAGAAUUUUGCAUCUCCUUUAAAAAUCCAAAUAGUAUAUUUUCAUUCCUCUGGUGCAUCCACAUUUUUAUUAAUUUAAUAGUGUAAAUCUGUGCAUAUGCUGUAAAGGAUAAGUGCUACAGUCUUAGUUUCAGUAGCAAAGGUUAUGGUCAUUAGGGGAAGCCAUGGUCCACUGGGUGUUGCUAUGGCCUAGAGGUGGUGCAUGGACUUGUUAUUGCUUAGAUGAUUCCAAAUGAGGCCUAAUGUCUUAAUACGAUGGCCAAAUCUAUCAAUAGAAUUUAAUCGAACCCACAGUCACCAAUUUCCUGGGCCGAUGUGGUCGAAGAAUGGGAUCAAGGAAUGGGGCACACUACUUGCGAAAGGUUUUGACUUUUGAUAAGGCCAGGACAAGAUUGUUUCUGUGUUCCUGGGAUGAGGAGCAUGACAUAGUUCCACAUUCCCCGUGACUGAUCUAACAUAAUCUAUAUGAAUCAAAAUGAGAUAUUAUCUUAUCUGGUUCCUUCUCAAGCUACACCUUCUUGCUCCUCACAUUGUGUCAGCUUGGUGCCUUGGCCUGCCUCCUUCGAUAAUAGAGCUAGAGCCACACGAAAACAGGAAGCUAUUGUUGUUGUGUAACAGGCAUACAGCAAGUGAUGUUCUUGUAAAAGGUUCUAAAUCUCACUAACCUGCACUUGGCUUGUCUCACCUUGUAGCGAGUAUAUGGGAAUUGUCCUUGUGAUUUGCUUCAUCUCUGAAAGGUUGAUUUUAAUAUUUCCUUUUAUGAUCGAAACUCCAUUUUGACAAUCAAAAAAAGAUAUUAAACACAAAUAAAAUGACAUGAUUAUUGUCUACUCACUAAAUUCCUUCCACAAAAGUUAGAUGUGCUGUUCGUGCUUUCACUGAAUACCUAAUUGGUUAAUUUGUUUCGACUCCUUAUGUUUCAGAACAUUUCUCCAUUGAGGAAUCAAGAUUUUAGUUAUUUUCAUUUCACUGAUAACAGUCUGGGAGACCUCUAGUCAUGAUUGUAGUUAUGAGUUAAGACGGUAUUUUCUUUUCCCUUGACCUGUCUCUGUGACUCAACCUUUUUAUUCUAAUGAUAGAAAAGGUUAGAUGUCUGGUUAUUUAGCAUUAAUCUUUCUAGUUUUAGUGCUUAAUUAGUCUUUUGUUUGGACAAAACUAGGGAAACGUAGGGAGUAUAGUAGUACAUAACACCAAGUCAGACUGAAUGAUCCACUGUGCUCCAGUGUGUUGAAAUAUAUAAAUGAUAGACCCAGUGCAUAGAAGCUCCCAUACAAGGUGGGGUCUGGAGAGUGAUUGUAGGAACCUAGUCUUACCCGUGCGAAGUGCAAUGCAGAGAGGCUGGUUCGAACCCAGACUGAUUACCUGGUUAAACUUGUUAGCCUACUUGUUUUGCAUUACCCGAUUUAAGGGGGCCUUAUAUUUGUACUUCGCUGAUUAAAUUGAGCUACAUGGAAAGUUUUGCAUCGUUGACAACUAUGUUACGAAGAGUCUGCAGUACCAUGUAAAACCCCAUAUAUUUUUAUGGAAUGCACGACAUGUCUUUUGUAAAAUGACAGCAAAGUAUUAUAACUCAUCGUGAGUUGAUAACUUCAUACAGAGGGAAAAUGCUAUAAUUUGAGUGGAUGACUUAACCAAGUCUGCAUCCUUUAUAUAUUUAUUUUGAGUCUCCAAUAGCCCAAACUCACUUUACCACCUAAUUCUAGUGAUACGACUGCCCAUCAAUGUCUUGUGUACAGGCGUGAGUAAAAAGUUCAAUCCUGUAUGUAAGUGACAGUUGCCAGUGUGAUUCAUUAUUGUAGGCAACCAAGCUUGAUCCUGAAGAUGUAGCCUUGCAUUCAAAUAGGAGUGUUUGCUGGAUUAACUUGGGUGAAGGAGACAAGGCCUUGGAGGCAGCCGAAAUGUGCAGGAUGAUACGUCCUGAUUGGCCAAAGGCCUGUUACAGGCAAGGGGCGGCCCAAAUGUUUUUCAAGGUGAGAUAAAACUUCACAAUUUACAGCUAAUCCUUCUGCUGUGGCCAAUCCCUUUUUAUGCUCUGAUGACACUACAAUCCAUGUCUUCAGAACUAUGAAAAGGCAUGUGAUGCAUUUCAAGAUGGUCUGAAGUUGGACCCGACAAAUGUUGAGAUUGAGAACGCAUUAUGCUAACAUACUUAUCCCCAUCUCCGUGUCUAUCAAUGUCGGAAUUUUAGUGUAAGCAUAAACCUCACUCAGGAUUCCAUUACUGUGUCAUGAUAAAUCAUACAGAGCAUCGUACUAAAGCAUGCAUACGGUGCAUACUAUUCAGGUCAAUACACUAGUUUGAUACUCCCUCGGCCCCUCCGAUCACAAAUAUUCAUUUUAGGGUUGUCCAUAGUUAAACCUUAAUAACUCUGACCAUAGAUAACACAAGGUCAGUACUGCUAGAUUUACCAUGUUAGGUAAUUUCAUAAUAUAUGAACUUUCUAUCCGAAACAAUAUAUCUUUAGAGAAAUUGAUGGUCAAAAUUUCACCUUGUAGACCAUGUUGAUGUCCUCAGCGACUUAUAUCUGUGAUCAGAUGGAGCAUAUGAUUUUUAUCUCAAGAGUGAAUCCCAAAUUGCGUUGUCAUGCAUUGCUUUGCUACUUCAACACAUCUAUAUAACAUAGUAAUGUCAUAAUUUGACUAUGCAGGGAGGCAUUCAACUCGAUGAAGAUAUCUCGUGCCAAAACGGUCUCAUGAACCGCCAUCCUUUGAUCAGAAGAGACCUACCCAAGGCCAAGCUGUUUCUGUGCGUGCUUCCCCUUCGAUGUUUAAAGACGUUGAGUUGAGAGGUUCCGCGUAGUACUGUACACACGAGCUUAUCUGGCUUCUUUGUAUAUAGCGUGUUGGGUCAUGAUGGUACAAUCUAUUUGCUGUUUCUCGCUACUGAAUGCUGAUCGUAAGUUUGAAUCCUUAGACGCGCGGCGACAAUUUGUCUGCAUUUUCGUGCCAAAAUGCGAGAAUUAUGUAGCAACUGAUCCGUGGUGUGGUGGCAUGAAGUUGGAUGAUUUCAUCCACGAAUUGGAGACGUCUUGAAUUUGGACGUUUUCAGCCAUGAAUUGGAGGUGUCUUGAAUUUCUG
rnacentral:lncRNA from 1 species